CUAAAUAUAUUAUUAUAUAUAUUUAGGUUAUAACAUUGUAAAUAAUAGAAUCGUGAAAUCGUGAUUUGGGGAAGAAAAACAGUUUCUUGUUUUCACGGCAGCGCUCUCUCUUCUUUGAGCGGAUCUCCUUCCGUCGAUCCCUUCCAUUCAUCAAAAACGUCUUGUAGUUCUAAAAAUUUGUCUCUUUGGUUCUCCUUUGGUUUUGUGGGGUUGUAAGUGUUUUUAUUUUGGGUUGUGAUCGGGUUUCUAAAUUCUUUGAAUUUUUCUUCCAACAUUUUCUCGAUGUCCAUUUCUACAUAUGCCUUUUCGAAAAGAUCGGAUACUUUAGUUGGUGGAUUUUCUGUUAUGUUUACUGCAAAACGGGUUGGUCUGAGGCCAGCUCUAAAAGCCAUGAUGACAGCACUGUCUGAUGGGCGUUCGAUCCGAUUCAGAGUUUCAGUGAACCUUUUAACGUAGUUUUUCAGAGUUUCAUUGCCUUUUUGUUUUACGUUUAAGAGUGCUCUUUGAUGUGUUUUUCUUCUAAUUAAAUGGUUGAAAGUUUCCAGAAAUUUAUGUUUUAAUUCUUCAAAGUUGUUUAUACUACCGACGGGUAAAUUGAUGUACCAAUUUAUGGCGUCAUUUUCUAGGAUUCUUCUAAACAUUCUACACCAUAAAUCUUCUCUGUCUGUUACGUCUUUCAUGUUUGCCAUAAAUUUGUAUAUGUGGUCCAUGGGGUCCGAGUUUCCCUUAUAUUGUGACAGUUUGGGCCUUUUCCAAUUCGUGGGUACUCUUUGCUUAGCAGGUAAGGGGCCAAAGCUUCUUUGUUUAAAUUCGUAUUUGGUGUGAUAUUUUCAGAAGUUGGUCCAUCUUUUUUAGAAUUUGUUAUCUUUGCGUUUUGGUCAGUUGUUUUUUCAGAGUUUCGCUGUUUCUUUAUUAUGUUAACUAAACCCGAUACUUGUUCUUGGAGUGAACCUAUGAUUCCAUAAAGUUCUUCUAAUUUAGCCUUUUUUAAUAUAUCACUGAUUUGUCUAAACUAAAGUUUGGCCUACAUCUUUUCAUUACGGGCUGAUCAUUUUCAUUUUUCUUUUCUGAGUCAUUGUGUAAUCGUUUUAUCUUGGGUUUAAUAUUUUAGAAUUAGUUAAAUAAUUAGAAUUAGUAUGUUAUAAUCGUCACAUGGCAGCGUUAGGUUGGUGAAUUAUAUUUCUAUUGUGUAUAUAAGUGGCUAAAGUGAAUGAAAAGAUAUGAAUUGAAUACUCAACAAAGUUUUGUUUCUUCCUCAGGCUCUUUCGGGAGAUUUUUUUUUUCAACCUCAGUCUCCUUUGGGAGAUUCUUCUUCUCAAUCUCAGACUCCUUCAGGAGAUUCUUCUUCUCAAUCUUAGGCCCAUGCAUGGGAUUUCUUCAGUUUAUGUUCUCUAACGAUCGGUAAUGAAGAACGGUUGUUACAUUGGUGCUUUCAACUUGUGAAUUCAUCAUAUGACGGAGUUGUUGCAAUCUUGAUCGAGCCACCGACGAUGCUGCGACAGUUCCAGGGUGUUCGAUCGCGAUCCUAUUGCGGUCUGUUUUUUUUUGUUUGCGAGCGAGAUUUGGGGCAAGCGAAAUUUGGAUUUCGGGAUUCAAUUUUCUUUCUUUCUUUCUGUUUUUGCAAUCCUGAGCGAUCUUCGAUUUUGGAUUUGGAUUGGAGGGAAGAUUUGAGUCGAUGACCCUAUUUGUUUGCCUGAUUUGCGAUCUUUCAAGAUUUGCGUUGAUUUAGAAUUGUUUUGGGAUUUAUCUUUCACGAGUGGAUUCAGUUUCUUGCCAUUCAAGAUCGCGGUUCCUGAUCUAAUUAUCUGAUAUGAGGGGAGGCUUCUCCAGAAGUUCACCAAUCAAGAAAGAAAAAACAAGAAAAGAUGGUGGAGAGGGAGGUCGAUGGAGACCAACCAAGUUAACCAAACUACUAACCUUGAGGUUAAAGUUAAAUCGAAAGGAGACGGUGAUGUAACAGUUCGUUUUAUCUUGGGUUUAAUAUUUUAGAAUUAGUUAAAUAAUUAGAAUUAGUAUGUUAUAAUCGUCACAUGGCAGCGUUAGGUUGGUGAAUUAUAUUUCUAUUGUGUAUAGAGUGAAUGAAAAGAUAUGAAUUGAAUAUUCAACAAAGUUUUGUUUCUUCCUCAGGCUCCUUCGGGAGAUUCUUUUUCUCAACCUCAGGUUCCUUCGGGAGAUUCUUUUUCUCAACCUCAGGCUCCUUCGGGAGAUUCUUUUUUCUCAAUCUCAGGCUCCUUCGGGAGAUUCUUCUUAUCAAUCUUAGGUCCAUGCGUGGGAUUUCUUCAGUUUAUGUUCUCUAACGACCAGUAAUGAAGAACGGUUGUUACACAUUGUCGCUUACGUGUUCCAUUUGAGGGAGCGUGGAGCGGAUCUAAGUGAGAGGGAUAGAGAGAGAGUCGCGAGAUCAUUUGCGAGCGAGUCGAGGAACGCGCCCAGAGAUGUUAUCGUGGUCGCGAUUUGCGAAGACAUGAGAUCGGAAGUAUUGCGUGGUUUUGGUGUAAGAAAGAAAUGAGAUCGGGAUGAAAGAGUGGUGUCGCAGAGGAAAUGUUCUUCCCCAGCAGAGUCGCCAAUUGUUGGUGUUAUUCCGCCUCCCCGGGUAAGUUGAGAUCUUCUUUAUUUAUAGCUGGAGGGCUCGGUAACUUGUUGACACAUUAUGACCCAGGUGUUGAGUUCCUGAAUAAACCAGACACGUAAUCCUGGUUUUAUCCUAUAUUCAUGACGAUAUGUGAUUGGCCGACACAAGUAUAAAGUGCGGCCAAUUACGUAUCAACAACUCAGUUAACAUCCCUGUAUGUAACAUUGUCUUUUUUUGUUUUAAGAUGAAUGAAAUUAUCAUAUACUUUUAUUUUAAAAAGAAAAAAAAAAGAUAAAGUUGAAGCCCUAUAUUAUUGGUUAUUGGACUACCAACAUCGAGUCUAUAUUUUCAGGUGACGGUCAUAUUGGGAUGGAUACGGUCUACGGGUAUCUGCUUCUGCGGUCCAGACCAGUCCAGGUGUAAGUUGCAUCCCUUUCGCAGUUUGAACAAAUCAUCCUCCCUAACGUGUUUAUCCACCGACUACAAUACCGUUUUCCCAUAAUUCCAUAAAUACUCAACAGUUCGAAGUCUGAACAAUUCAUCACCAUUUCGGCAUUUCCCAAUAUCUUUAACUGCCAAUAUAUUUUCUAUUUUACCUACUCUCUUUCUCUCACCCACUGCGUUCAGCACUUCAACAUUGUGUUGUACUUUUUCUACACCUUAAAAAAACAAGACAAAGGAUCAAAGGAGAUAGAUCGAUAGAUGAGUACAGUGGAAGGAGCUGCCGGGGCCACACCACACGGAGUGCUUCUGGCGGUGAUAAUCGGUGUGGCGGCGGUCGGACCAUUCAUCAUUGGGGAUCAUGGGCAAAACAUAGUCGAAGCCAUACCGGAGAUCAUUGGUCCGACAGGACUCUUCCUCCUUCCUGUGGUUCUCAUUCUCGUCAUUCGCUUCCUCUCCUCUGACAGUUGCAGUACCUUCUCCCAGAUAUUCUCCGGUGGGUCCCCAGAUACUAUCCAUAACGUCGGAGGGUCUCCGGUCGGAGUCGGACUUGUUCUGCUUUUUCUCCUAUUUCUCCUCUACUACCGCAUCUCAUUCUUUGGUGAUGAAGGGGACUCCGCUGGUAGCUAAUCACUGUAGGGUCCCACGUCGGUAGUAUAUAUAUUUACAACAUUGCCACUUGAAUCUUGAACCUUUGUUUUGUACUUUUGUCUUUUGUCGCCGGAAAUUGACUGUUGUUAGAUUUAUUAUUUUUCGCUUUUAUUUAUCGUGAUGGCAUAUGGGUCCCUACUCUCUAAAUUAAUUUUUUCUUUUUACAAAAAAUCAGUCUAAGUUUAAUAAAAUUUCACAGUAUGUAUUAACCGCUUCUCCAUACAUCGACUGUUAACCUCCCCCCAAAGCAAACUUCUCACUUUCUCAGCGCUUAUUGCCUUUCUUCUCAUUCUCCUCUUUUCUCAGUCUCUCAUGCUCAAUAAUUCAUCGACGCGUUUUCACAACAAUUUUAAGUUUUCCGAAUUCCUUGGCGUUUUCUAGGGUUUUUUACUUUUAUUUUAUUUGAAAUUUGAUUCUGAAAUUUCUCGACAGUUUCGACAUGCUAGGAUUACCAAAAGAGGGGAAUCAUAUAAUGUAGUAUUUAGAUUAUUGAAUUUUGCCCUUUAAUUUGUUCAACUUUUGCAGAUCUCCAACUGCUGCUUCUUGUUUACCAGACGAAAAGACAGUCAAAAGUGUCCCUCGUUCCCGUUCGCCUUCUGUACGUUUUUUUUGAAAGCACGUUUGUUAUCUUAAUCUCGUUUUAUCUUGUCGACUUACAUCUAGAUCUAAUCUUGUUUAAUUUGUUUUUCUAUUAUCUAAUAUAAAUGAAAAGCAUCAAGAAUACAUUGAAAAUAACAAAAGACACCGAGGCCUGUUUGGCCUUGGCCUGAAACUAACAAAAAGAUCCUAGUUUAUUGCUUGUAAUUACUAGUUUGUAGAUAGUAAAUCGUAAUUACUAAUUACUAAUUACAAGAUGAAACAUAUGCAUAAAUUAUGCUGAACUUGAUUCACUGUUUAUUAACUUGCCCAAUCAUUCAUAAUGAUGCAUUGACUUCAAACUCCAGAAGAGCGAUUGGCGUACUCCUGCACCAAUGCGCUGAAGAGAGAAGCCCGUUCUAUCAACUUUGCGGGCGAAUCGAAUUCCUUGGCAAAUCCUAGAACAGAACAGAACAUAUUAAAUUUUAGAUUUCUGAUUCUUGGGAGAUAUAGAUGGUUUAAUGAGUAUAAUUUUACCUUGGUCUAUAACCAAGACCCUGUCACAGUCCAUAACUGUCGGUAUUCUAUGUGCAAUGCUUAUUAUUGUGCACAUUUCAAACUCUUGUCUGAUAAUAUUCUGUAUCACACCAUCUGUUUGUGAAUCCACUGAAGCCGUCGCUUCAUCCAUGAACAAUAUGCGACUUCGUUUCAACAUAACACGUCCCAAACAUAAAAGUUGUCUUUGCCCCAUGCUCCAGUUGUCGCCACUGUCGACAACUAAUGCAUCGAGUUUUAAAGGUUUUGCGACCACCACAUCCUUCAAUUGACAUCUGGAAAGACUCUGUUCCAACAUCAAACAUGUUAAUUAGACAUAAUAUCUUCAUAGAAUAUAGUCAUAUAGUUAUAUUGAAUUAGUGAUAGAAAUACAUACCUGCCAAAUUUCGUCAUCAGAAUAAAGACCAAUGGGGUCAAUGUUACUCCGGACAGUUCCUUCAAACAGAACAGGUUCUUGAGGAAUGAUUCCGAAUUUUGACCUCAGAUCGUGAAGACCAAGGGUAGAUAUAUCGAUCCCAUCAACAACAAUCCUUCCACCGCAGGGCUCUACGAUUCUGAACAAAGCCUGGACGAGAGUGGACUUUCCACUUCCUGUUCGGCCCACAACCCCGAUCUUCUCACCUCCGUCGAUGUUGAAUGAGAUUCCUUUCAGAAUCAGGGGCGUUGUUUCCCUGUAUCUCACCUUCAGAUCACUCACAUUGAUGUUCCCAUGACUCGGCCAUUUUGGAAGUGGGCGAGAGUGCUCGAUUUUCCACGCUGCUUCCGAUGGGAUUUUCACCAGCUGUUUGAUUCUCUCCACAGAUACCAUUCUGUUCUCGACGUUGCAACUUAUCCAGAUUGCGAAGAAGAGCAACGAGUUGAGAGAAAUCCCAUACGAGAGCACCAAUCCGGCGAGUUCCGGUUGGAUGAAAUUGGAGGGGAGGACUACCAUCGCCAUUGCGGCCAAGCAUAGAACAGAGCUCCCGAUCAAUUCCAGACGAAAUCCCAACCACUCGCUCGAUCCGAAAUUGUGGAAAUCCAUCCGUAGGUUUGAAUUCACACGUCCCACGUUUUCUUCGCUGAAUAGCAUGCCCUUACCGAAGCAACGAAUGGUCGCCACACCGGAAACGCUCUCGGAGAAAUGGUGGAUAACCGGUGCCUUUGUAAUGGAGUCCAGUCUUGUCAACUCGCGAGAUGUAGAAAGAUAAUAACCACGGUACCAGAAGUUAAGCCAACCCAAAGGAAGGAUGAUCAAAAUCGUCGGCCAGACUGCCAGACACGUUACCACGAUCACGCUGGCGACUGAUAUGUACAUUGAUACUGUCAGUCCCAUAAAAAACGGCAGGAGAAGAUCCAAGUUGGUUUGAUCGGUGGAUGCCCGGCUGAGAAUCCUACCGGAAGGUGUUGUAUCGAAAAAAGACAUCGGAGCAUGGAGGAUGCUAUUAAGCAUUUGUUUGAAGAAAAUCUGAGAAGUAGUGAGUCCCAAGUAAGCAACAAGGAUGGACCUGAUCACAACCAGAACGACCGACACUGCUGCGAUGGCUGAGUAAACUUGCAUAAACGUAUCGGCGUUAAAGCGAGAAGGAUGUUCUGUCGACGUCUCAUAGGCCAACCAAUAGUCAUCAGCCGUCAACGAAAUUUGCCAUGCAAGAGACAUCACAAGCAGCAAUGUCGCGCCAUACCAACCCCAAGCCUCCGUCGUAUACACCUUGUACACAUACAGGCUCACAUGCCCUGUCUCACGCAUUUCUGCUUCUAUUAACUUUGACGUGCCGCCAGUUCGUGCACCGGUUCCGAUCCCGUCGUUCUCCUUCUUCUGUUUUGGAUGAUGAUCUUCGACGGAAGUUUCCACUUUCUGGUGAUUUUGGUCUUCGAUAAGGUUCAUUGAAUCUGCAUGGGCAGAAAUGAGAACGCUGAAAUCGGUGCCUUUUACUAGUAGCUCGUCGUACUUUCCGGUCUGCACAAUUCUGCCGCCUUUCAUGACCAGAAUUUUGUCGGCGUUGUGGAGGAAGUCGACUUGAUGUGUUACCAGUAUCACCGUCUUCCCUUUCAAUGCUCCUCUAACGCAUUCUUUGAAGAGCUCCGAUCCCGUAUGAGCGUCGACGGCGCUAAAGACGUCGUCCAGGAAGUACACGUCGGAAUCUUGGUAAACUGCUCUAGCCAACUGGAUUCGUUGUUUCUGACCUCCGCUAAGAUUGAUACCACGUUCCCCAAUCUCUGUUUGGUCACCGAAUUCCAUCAUUUCCAAAUCUUUUUCCAGACAGCACACGCGUAUCACGUUUUCGUACUUGUCACCGUCCAUCGGAAGACCGAACAAAAUGUUAUCUUCGAUUGUGCCGUUCUGUAUCCAUGCUGUUUGUGCUACAUAAGCUGUGCUUCCACAGACUCUCACCUUCCCGGUGAUUUUGUUCAUCUCCCCUAGAAGGCAGGAUAGGAGAGAUGACUUGCCUGACCCAACCAUUCCAACUACGGCUGCGAGUGAACCUUUCUUGAUUUUAAAAUUGAUGUUAGAUAGUGAAGGUUCCUCACCUUCCGGAACUUCGUCGUCCCAUUCAAAUUCACCCCCCUCCACCUCGACGGCAAUUUCAUCCAAGGUAUUGCAGAUUUCCGAUCUCUCCACGGCGUUCUCUUCCAAUUCCGGGCUCGUCAUGUACCCGUCUAAUCUUUCGAGAGAGGUGACGGCUUGGGAAGUCGAAAUCAAUGCCUGAGGGAAAUUUCUGAGUGGUUCUUGUAGGAUCUUGAAGAUGGUCGUCGCCGUGAACACUUUCCCAGCGUCAAGUUCGACUCCUAAUAAUAAAGCCGUACCGAAAGUGAGUGUCGAGACUAAUAUCGGCGUGCUCCAUAGGACAAUAUUAUUGCCGGAGAUGGAGUAGAAGAAUUUUGUCAUCCAAUGGUACUCUCCUUCACGAAAGCUCAAGAUUCUUUUGUAGAAAUGUUCCUCCCAAGCCUGAAGCUUGAUGACUCUGAUGUAGUUCAACAUCUCGUUGACCGCUUUCAUUCUCUUGUCGCGCAUCCCCAUGAGUCGGAACUGGUACCGGUUAUUUCGUUGAGCAGAAGAUACCACGAAGAUUAACACAAGUAUGAUUCCGACAGUAGACGUGAUCAUCGAUAUUCCAAAGUAGUAAUAGAGAAGUAACAAUGCUGCUCCGACUUGGAGAGGCAUCAACCAUAUGUAGUGCAGUUGGAGCAUCAUGUCCGAGAGUUGUUGCGUGUCGACAGCCAUGUAGUUCACGAUCUGACCCAAACCGUGGGAGUGUCUUGCGGAGCAGGAUAAACGAAGACCUUUCCGAUAGAGGGAAGUUAUAAGAGUAGCCCUUAUCAUCAUACCGAUCUUUUGUGACUGAAAGUUGUACUGAUGAGAGCACAUCACCUCCAAGAACUUGGCGACUAAGAGAGUUCCGCAUAGAUAAUAACCUUCGUAGAUGGAAGUCCGAUUGCCAGAGGUGUAGUCGACGAAACUUUGGAUGAGAGUGGGACCGACGUACAUGACACAAAGUUUCAUAAUGGCGAGUGAGGCAGUAAUUGCAAGGUUCAUCCAAAAACAUCCGAAGAGAGCUUUUAUAACUGGAUGGUCGGAGCGCUCAGCAUUUUCCGGCCAUUUAGACUGGAAAAGCUCAUACAUCUUCUGUGCUCGAUGCUCCGGCGAGAGAAAUGGAACGUCGUCGAUUUUGAGAGGCGCUCUAUACCCUUUCUUCAUUAACGGAUUCAUCCAUAGAUAGAAAGCUUUGGAGAUGAAGGAACUGUCGGCGAAACCCGUUGUCUUAUUCUCUCGUCCUCCAUCUCCAUUUUUCGGUAAACACGGGCUUUGGUGAUCGCGCUUCUUUUUAACAUCAACGUUGGAAACACCAGUUGAACCGAAGAAGGCUUGGAGGAGGAGGGCGAAAGAGAUGGGCAGUGAUACAAUCGAGAUAAGAACAUCUUCGACACUGAGAAUUUGAGCACCGGAAGCCAAACGAAAGACGGAAGCCGUAAAGAACAGGGCGGUGAGGAAGAAACUGAUAAACCAGUAAACACGGAGAGUAACGGGAUGUUUAGGUAUUUGAAACCUUUUCUCGUGAACAACGAUUGCAGUUAUUGCAAGAUUGGUGAUCAGCUGGAAUACCAAAAAUACGUACUCCACCCCUCCUGUAGCAUCUUCGACGAUGGAUCCAACGAUGAGUGAAACGUAGAUGAUAGCUAAAAGCAAGGGGAGGAUAAUAGCUAGUUUAAAGAUGAAAUUGGUGGUAACUACGGAUUUCUUCUCCCUGAGGAGUAGCGGUUCUGUCGAUGUGGUGUCGUGUGUUACUCCAUGACCACCACCGACGCGAAAGUACAAUUUAGAGACGGUGAAGAAGGUAAGAGCAAGUAAGAAAACGAAAUCAACGGCUGAGAAUAACAAACGCUGUGAGCAAGGAGACAUGAAAAUAAAUCUUAUCCAUUGGACGAAAGAAAAAUUGGACUGAAAGGGGGUGGUGCAGGUAACGUUGGUUGCCAUCCAGGAACCUCCGACGAAGACACUUUCCAUGGUCCCGACGAUGAGCACGAGAAUGAUGGUAGAAAAUGAUGCACACAGGACACCCUUAUAAAGAUGGAUAGGUACCAGGCCAGGCAGGUCACGAGAGACAAGUUCCACGUUUUCAUAUACUGACCACUGCUACACUGCCUCAGUGGGAUUAUUUGGAAGUUUAUAAAUUAUGAUUAGAAAUAAUUUUCUUUUUUAAUGAAUAGAUAUAAUCGUAUGGACUAUAUGGUUAGGUUUGGAGUUUGGAAGUUUUGAUCGUUUUGGGAGACGAGAGGAGUGGUUGGUACCAAGUUGCUAAGUGCCAAGAGUUUCAGAGCCGUCAGUUGAGUCUUUUUGAACUCGCGGGUCAAGAGAGACAGAAGAAUCAGCUAAUUUGCUAAAUGCCAAGAGGUCCAAGGAGUUAGGUUAAAAAUAGUGACUGUUCCGUAUCACUAAAUAGAAUUUAGAGACUAUGAUGAUUAAAUUAAUAAGAAACCAAAAUUGGUGAAUGGUGAUAGAUUUAAUUUAGUCAAAAAUUUAUUUAAUUUUAAUCGACUGAGGUAACUGAACAUUGAUUAAAUAGUUAAAUGUUUUUAACAACAAAACUGGUUCUGCUUAAAUUACCUUGUAGUUUAUUGAUUAAUUCAAUUUUUAUAGCUAUUACAUUUACUAGUUAACCAAUGAAAUCAAAACUCAAAACCCAUCAACAGAAUCAUUUCUGGAUCUCGUUUUCUUAAGGUUCCUUCUCAUUCUUAGGGAAUCAUUUUCAGAAUAGAGUUAUCAAUCAACCCUACAAGGCUAUAUGUCUAGCUAAUGUGACCCUAUAAGUCACAAUAAGUAGAAAAUUGACUAAUUUGUCAACGACAUGUGCCCACACAAGUUAUUCUCCGAUCUGCAUCCAAAUUGGAUUCUUGUCUAUGUCGAGCUAUAUUUAAAUGUGUUUGGUAGUUGCAUCAUUUAUGGUAUAAACUGACCGAAACUGGAAUCUUUCCUUUUUAUGAAAAAAAUGAAUAUAAUUGUUACAAACAGCUCAGUAUAAAUCUAAUCUAGUAAUCUGUAUGAACUUACUCUGACAGUCUGACCAUCACUUUUAUUAUACUCUAAGGAGUCUGAGCGUUAAUGAAAAAGAGUUGAGUUGUUAUUUUUUAACAACUGGUUCAUUACUUCAUGAUCCAUCGAAUCAAUCUGGUCUGUUGUUUGUUUAAUCUAAUAAUUUUUUUUAUUGUCACUCAUCUUGCUUAUGUAUUGAAUUAAGUUUUGUAAGUUGGUUAAAUAUAUUUAUUCAAUAUCAAUAAAACACAAUGAACAUGUUAGAUUUUUAUUUGGUAUACCAUAACGUUUUAAACUAUGUAGCACCUGAAAUGGGUAUUUUUUAAAUGACGAUUUUUGAUUAAAGAUAAAAUAAAGUUCAGCUACUAUUAAAAAUAACUAAAUGAAGAUAAACUGAAAAGAUGAAAUUUAAGAAUAGUAACUACUACGGUCAGUGUCAGGAUUUCUCUUCAUCUUUGGGUUGUAAUUAUUUCCUUCUUGCUGGUGCCAUUCGAUUUCUUAUAACGAUUCUCAUUGAAAAUGAUCGCGAUGUCCUUAAUGAACUUUGUCUCUUUGUAUGGUGCAACGUUCUCACCAUAUGUACCAUACGAGUGUUGCCGGAGCCUCCCAAUAUAGGCCCCAACAUGGUGCGUGCGGUUGAAACUGUUGGAUAUCGAAAAAUAAAUCUCCAAUUCGGAUAUUUGUGAUCGCGUUCUGGGGUACCCCUAUUACCUGCCACAACACAUACCUUGUAGCUUCCAUGAACUGAUACCACAUUGUCUGUGUAUAUCUGUAAUUUAUGAAAAGGUAGUAGAUCGAUGGACUCCUCUCCUCCAUUACAUAAUAGACAAUCACGUGGCACAUCUGAACCUCUUCUAAUAAUCUUGCCAAAGGUGAUUAAUUUACUUUAGCGAAGGUACUAGUGAGCAAUGAAAAACUUCAAAGUCUUGCAAAAUGUAUAUUCCCAUGAGUGAAUGGGUCAGGGACCGUGGGAGGGAGCAACAAUUCAUAUAUAUAAGAUCAAAUUUUUGGUUUAACACAAAUUUGAUUUCAUUCCAUUUGUUUUGAUCUCACAUAAUCACAUGGUCCGUUUUGUGUAUAAUAUAAUCUAUAAUUUUUCACCAUGAUCGAUCAACUCUUUUGAUUUCAAUAUUAAGUAAUCAUGUUUCUAAAAUACCACAAUCAAUCCACAUUCCUGACAUUUGAUAAAACAAAAGGUUUGAAAAGGGGAUAGUCGAGAUCUAGUUAUAAGAGAUAAUUGAGAAGAAGGGAUUCAUUUUAACGUACUUCACUUUUAAAAAAACAGCACUAACUCUCGUGUUUAAUUUAUGUAUAAAUGAAUUAGUAAUUUGUUCAUCGUGCACAUUACAUACAAGAUUAUACUCAGAUCGUCAUUGUCAUGAUCUCCAUUACUUGCUACUAUAUAAGAUCAUCCUUGAAUCACAAUCAAAACACAACCCACAAACAUAUACAACAAGCAUAGAAUAAAUAUAGCUAGUGAGAUUGCAAUAAUGGCUUCAAAAAUGGAUUUGGAUGGGAAGCCUAUCGCGACCAUAACGAUCUGUAUGAUCGGAGCAGGAGGUUUCAUUGGAUCUCACCUUUGCGAGAAGUUGUUGUUUGAAACCUCACAUACUAUCCUUGCUGUCGACGUCUACAAUGACAAGAUCAAUCAUCUUCUUGAUCAUCCAGAGUCUGGGAGUGGUAGCAAACACCCAUGGUCAGGAAGGAUCCAAUUCCACCGCCUGAACAUCAAGAACGACUCUCGUCUUGAAGGACUUAUCAAGAUGUCUGACCUGACUAUCAAUCUUGCUGCCAUAUGUACUCCGGCAGAUUACAACACACGUCCGCUUGACACGAUAUACAGUAACUUUAUCGAUGCACUUCCUGUUGUUAAGUACUGUACAGAGAAUAAAAAGCGUCUGAUUCACUUCUCGACUUGUGAGGUUUACGGGAAGACGAUUGGAAGCUUUCUUCCCAAGGAUCAUCCUCUGAGACAAGAUCCUGAAUUCUAUGUUUUGAAAGAAGAUGAAUCUCCAUGCAUAUUUGGCUCCAUUGACAAGCAGAGAUGGUCCUAUGCAUGUGCAAAACAGUUGAUUGAAAGACUAAUUUAUGGUAAGCACACAUUUAUAUAUUUAGUCUUUUAAUUAGUUUUACCAUAUAUGUAAUUAUAGAUUAAUGAAUGAUUUUUUUCUUCUAACAUUCAUUAAUUAACUAGCCGAGGGUGCCGAAAAUGGCUUGGAAUUCUCUAUUGUGAGACCUUACAAUUGGAUCGGACCUAGGAUGGAUUUUAUUCCAGGAGUUGAUGGUGAAGGAGUUCCCAGAGUCUUGGCUUGCUUUAGUGAUAACCUCUUGCGAGGAGAGCCUCUGAAACUUGUAGAUGGUGGAGAGUCCCAAAGAACUUUUAUCUACAUUAAAGAUGCCAUCGAAGCUGUUCUUCUCAUGAUCGAAAAUCCCAAACGUGCAAAUGGUCAUAUCUUUAAUGUGGGGAAUCCUAACAAUGAAGUUACUGUUAGACAACUAGCAGAAAUGAUGGCAAAGAUCUACGGUAAGGUAUCAGGAGAGAAGAUGUUAGAUGUUCCGACCAUUGACGUAACUGCUAAAGAGUUUUACGGUGAAGGUUAUGACGAUAGUGAUAAACGUAUUCCAGACAUGACCAUCAUCAACAAACAACUUGGUUGGAAUCCUAAAACUUCUUUGUGGGAUCUGUUGGAAUCAACUCUCACUUAUCAACACAAGACCUACUCACAAGUUGUGAAGCGUGGCAUUGCAAAACCAACGGCCAAUUAAACAAACAAGUCUAACUAUCAGAGUUUUAUUUAUCACCAAAUGAUUGAGUGUUUCUGAGUUUGAUUAUUAUGUUUUUCAUCUUUCAUUCCUAGAUUUUGGUUUUCUAUCAAGUUUCUAUUUAUGUAAUUGAUUAUUUAAGUAUUUAUGUGUAUUCACAUUUCUUAACUUUUUGAGGGAAAAAUUGGCUAGCGAUUGAACUUUUUUUAAUUGAUUUGAAGAAAAUAAAUAUCUUUAUGAAUGGGACAAAAUCAUAUAUAUUUAUAAGUUAAUUAUCGUUGAUAUUUCAAUCAGGGACGGAUCUACAUAGGCCCCCUUGCCAAGCCACUGCGGAUAUGAAAAUAUAGAAUUUGUGUAAUAUAAAAAUAAAUAUAUGUAGGACAAUUCAAGGCCCUUGGAUAAUUCUAAGGGACUUUCAACCAAACAUAAGAGCUUUCAACCAAACAAUAGAUACUACAUGCUUAAAAGAAAUCUAAAUAAAGGGUAAUCCGGGAGCAUAGAAUCAGUAGUAAAAUAGACAAGGGAAUAUGAAAUUGAGUAAUGUAAAAAAAGUACUAAAAGGCCGGGUGACAAGCGAAGGACUACGAGUGGAUGUGCAAAUGCUACAAUUAAGUUAGACCUAGCUAAAGCCUUUAAUUGACACUUGUAGUUGAAAAGCUACAGAGGAAACCUUAGUAGACCUAAACUUUAGCCAAGAAAUAAUUAAGAUUAUCAUAAUGUGCAUCACCGCCACAUCACUAUAUAUCUUUCUUAGUGAAUGGUUCACCCAUCACCCAAAUCAACCCCAAGCCUGACCCUCUAUUUUCCUAUAUCUUCACCCUUCUAAUGCAAAAUUUACCAACCUUGAUUAAGGAUAGAGUAGACAAAAAACAGAUUAAACUAGAUCCAAUUAUGGGCAUAUAUAUCAUAGUUUAUGCAAAUGACGUAUUUGUCUUCUGCAAAGCCAAAAUAGACUCCUUCACGACCAUAAAAGAGGUGUUUAGUAUAUUUGAGGGUAACAUAGGAUUAAGGGUAAGUGAGGAAAAAAUUGAAGUAUUUUUUUUCAGGUUCAACAAAAGAUAAAUCCAUUCUACUCAAUCACCUAAACUUCAAGGAAGGCUUCUUCCCUACCAAGUACCUACGUCUACCCCUUAUCACCUAAGAUCCUAUACCAAAAAGACUAUGCACCUCUAAUCAAACGAGUAAGCAACAUGCGGUUGAAGGAUGGAAAACAAGAUUACUAUCUCAUGCAAGGAGGAUGCAAUUAUUCCAUUGAGGUAUCAUUAGGGGUGAGAAUGGGGUGGGUCACCCCGGUAUCACCCCGUUCUGCGCCCCAGUGGUAACCAGAGUCGGGGCAGAUAUUUUGUCGAGUUAUUAUUUUUUUGACCCAUUGCCCCAGUCAUAUUCGGGGACGGAUCGCUCGGUUAAAAAAAAAUUUAAUAUAUUAUAUUAGAUAUAGAUUAUCAGGAUUAAUAAGAAUUUAUUACAUUUUUAAGUUUAGACCUUAGCCCUUAAACCUUAUGUCCAUUUUAGAUUUACUUUUAAGAAUUAGGGUAAAAAAUUUACCCAUUUUAAAUUUUAGAUUUACUCUUUUAAUUUUUUUUUAAUUUACAUUUUCUAAUUUUUUUUAAUUUACAUUUUUUAAUUUUUUUUAAUAAUAAUUCCAGGACGGGUCACCCCGUUCCGCGCCCCGAUCACAGGGGCAGAGCCGCUCUGCCUGCGACCCAUCCCGUUCUCACCUCUAGGUAUCAUGGGCAUUUUUAAUUUUUGGAACAUGGCUUGUAGACUACCUAUAGAAACCCUAAGAGACUUACUAUCCAUCUUUUAUAGAUACAUAUGAAAUGGAAAACAAGACUUCACUUUGGUACAGAUGGCUUUACCCAAAAAUGAAGGGGGAUUAGGUCUGAGAUGUUUCGUUGAGUCAGUAGAGGCGACAAGGAUAGUAAGACUAGCUUGGAUAUGGUCGAACCAAGACUCGAUAUGGGCCGCAUGGAUGAGAGACAGAUACGUCAAAAAUAGAUCUUUACAAAGAAGAGAAAAACACCCAAGCAUAGACUCAGCCCUAUGGACAGAAAUAGUAGAUAAGAAAGAAGAUAUUGAAAAAUCACUUAAAUGUAAAGACAAUUACAACUAUGAAUGGAUCGGGGUUAGAACAUCACUAACAUAUAAAAAUGCUUGGAAAUUUAUAAAAACAAGAGAGAGAUUGAUAACCUAUGGGAAGGAGUGUGGACCACGAGUGUAAGAAAAUUCGCUACAAUCCUUUGGAGAGUUAGGUGGGGCAAAAUAUGAAUGAGAGGAGAUUGGGGCAGGUAGAAUGAAUGAGAUAAUAUUGAGUGUAUAUAUACUAUGUAACGGGUCAUGGGAAUCACAAGAAAACGUAUUCUUUCAAUGUAAAUUUGCAAAAGACCUCUGAGGAUACUUAAUUUGGAAAAAAAACAGAUUUAAUAUCAAUUACAGGUUUAUCACUAGAACAGGUAAUGAAAGAGGCAAGCAGAAGGACCAAAAAGUCAGGCUGCUGGAGGAUAACAUGGGCCUUCAUAGAAGCAACAAUGUGGGGCAUCUGGACAGAAAGAAACAAAAUGGUUCAUGAAGACAGAUUCACCAGAACACAUGAUAGGAAUUGACUUGUAGUAGAAAAAUGUAACUCAAAGAAUCUGAAAUGAGCCGGAAUUUAACUAAAGAUAAAAUUCUGACUCAUUUUGGAUUAGGUCAAUUAAUGAUGGGAUGACCAAUUGUGCAAUACAAUUGCGCAUCGCCAUAUGAACCUCGAUCCCCUGGUGGCCGGAUUGGGAUUCUUCUGAAAGUAGAAAACAACAUAUGACAAGUUAUUUACAAAGUAGUGAACUGAAAGGUAAUGACUGAGUUUUCUUUAAGAAAAGUAAAAGAUGACAAAAACACACCAGAAUUUUUUCACCCAACCAUUAUCCUAUGCCCACUACAUAGAAACGAUGCAGACAUAUACAUUUUAGGAACCAAAUGUCAGUCUCUCAAAGAUUGCAAAGAUCUAAUGAUCGUACGUAAGAUCAAUUGAUUAGAUCAUAAGGAAUCAUAUAUGGUUUUAUCUCUUUUUUUUGUUUUAAAAUUAAUGAUGUCAAGUAGUUUUAUUUCAAAAAAUUCUAUUAGGGUAUGUUGAUUCUGGAAAUAUACUCAUAAUUUUUUCGUAAAAAAAUACUCAAAUAAAUAAAAUAUCUAUCUCAAAUCCAAAAUCAAAAUCCUCAAAUCCAGUCCUAAAUUAGAAUUCAGCCGACCAACCUUAUUUAGUAUGAAUAUUUUCUUGAUAUUACAAUUGCAUUUCAGUUGAAUUGAAAAAAAUAAAUAAACAGUCCACGUCAAAAUUUUAUCUGACUCUUUUAAAAUUUUAUCUGACUCAUUUAUUACUCAAAAAAAAUUUUGCGGACAGAGAACGACCAAAUCCUGAUUCUGUCCCUGAUUUUAAUUACUCUUUAAAUAUAAUAAAUACGUGGGUAAAAUUAGGUAAGUAUCGAAAUAAAUAUUAUCAGUUAAAAUCAAUUAAUGUUGUCUAUUGAAGACAAAGAUACUUGGCUAUAUAACUAUAUUAACGACAAAGACAAAUGGUGGUUAUAUUAACGACUAUGCAGGUGGUUGUUAUUUGUUAUCGAUAUUGGCUAUCACGUAUUCACGUGGGUGUUGCAAACUGUAAAGUAAGCUAACUGUGACCGUUUAGAAUAAAUAUCAUGACACGCGUCAUAUUUAAUUCGAUUUGGUCCAACAAAAAAUUGAAUUUUGUUUGUUGAUUUCAGAGUCCUAAAACGUCACGUAAGCUGUGAAAGGCAAUUCAAUGUUCAAACGCAGGCAACAAUAAAGUGGUAAAAAAUAUUCUAGAAAGCACAAGAAUUUUUUUUAAGAUAAUUAAUUAAUCCGUACAUCAUAUAUUAUUUUUAUUCAUUUUUUAAAUUAUUAAUUCGCAAUUUGAAUUCCUUCUUGUUCUUGGCUAGAAAUGAAUUAAACAACAUUUGAAUUUUAAUCAGACUUGAUUAUAUUUUUAAGUCAAAAUAUUAUAUCGACCACGUGAUCAUACGUGACUACCAAGAAAUGUUGCAUGUUUUCUCCCGAUUAAAUCGAAAAAAAAUCUAACCAUUUCAUUUUCCAGUCGUUUUUCAGAGCUAAUGAACUUCGCAAGAAGCUUCGUGCAUGGAAUCAUGGACGGAAUCGAACGAGGAGCUAAGUACGUUCAAUUGAAUACAGCGGCGCCAACGUGUGACGGAAUUAUAAUAUAUAUAGAUGUACAUAAGCGAUGGAUCGAUAUAUCCAGUACAAUUAAACCAACCCAAGUAACCUAGCAAAUUCAGACAGACAGAAAGAAUCCACAAUGGCAUGCAAUAGAGUAGUUGUAUUUAUGAUCAUCCUCGUCGUCGUAACUUCUGCCGCGGGUUCCAUCGACAUGGUCUCCGCCACUAGUAGGCAUCAUCUAUCUCCAAAACAUUAUCGACAUCGUCAUUCAAAGAAAACUAUUAAAACAUCCAAUAAAGAGAACGACGAUCAACUUCAAUUCACGUACAGCACUCUUGGAGAGAUUAAGGAUUCCGGUCCAAGUCCUGGUGCAGGUCAUUGAUGAAUCACCAUGGAAUUUAAUUCAUUAAAUUCAUUAAUUAAUUUCUACAAUUUAAUUAAUUCAUCAUGCAUUCAUUAAUUAUGUAAAAUGUUCCCGUUUGUUAUAUAUAUAUAUAUACUAGCUGCUUAAUGGCUAAUUAUUUAUUACUUGUUUAAUCAUGCCAUAAACCCAUAAUGCUUAAUUAAUUAAUUACGUCAUCCACCGACCUUAAUUAUAUAUCUAGCUCGAUCUUAUCCGAAUUCAGGAGGAAAGGUUCUGUACGUACGUACUCUUAUGCACGAACGAACCCAUUAAUGGGGUGUUACGUGUUAAAGCAUGCAUAAUCGAUCUAUGUUGAAUCCUGGCCGGUCUCUGAAGUUGUUAAAUAUUAUACUUAAUACAAUGAUUAUCCAUCCAUAUGUUCCACUAUUUAUACAUCUAUGUCUAAUUCUCGAUCCAAUAAUUAUCAACACCGAUUGACUAAUCUGUAAUCAAUUCGAUAUCAAAUUCUCAAUGGAAAAUGUGCAACCAUCGGAAAUGAUGCAGCAACCGAACACACUCUUUCAUUCCUCCGGUGAUCGUUAUCAUUUCGGGAACGGUACUUAAUAUGUGUAAUUCUCUAUUAUUAACGAAUUAAACACUACUAAUUAUCUGCAUCUUAAUUUAAUCAGGCUGCGUAAGCUGUUCCUGGCCGUGCAUCAGUUUAGAACAGAUGGUGGAUAUUAUCCUGGACGAGGGUCCCUCGAAUUCACCUUCUUGUGAGUUGGUGUGCUUGUUGAAUGAUAAUGAGGUUGAGGCAGGUAUGAAUGGAAUUUAAUUUAAUUUAAUUAUGAAUUCUGCUUUUAAUUCGAUCGAUAAUUAUAGGAUGGGAAGAAUCUGGCAUGGAACAAAGAAAGGGUGGAGUGUUGACCCACUUUGAGCCCAAAUUGCAAGGCGGCAUGACUCGUUGAUUCAUUGUCGAUCAAUUUUUAUUUAUUUUUUACAUGUAAAAUCGAUGUUCCCUAUAUUAUUUAAUUUUGUGAUUAUUAAUAAACUUGUAUAUUUCAAAGAAAUCACUUAUUCUCAGACCAAUCUGAUUUAUGUGUCCUAAUGGACCUCUCUGGGCCCAAAACAAUGGCCUUACCCACGAACUUGAUCGGCCACAGCUCAGUCAUAAAUCAUAAUAUAUAACUCCAACCAUAAUGAAAAUUUAGUUAAAAUAGAUAACUCGAAUAUGAAGUAUGAACCUUCAAAUAUCUUAGCGGACCAUUUUAAAUCAAACAUAUAUUAAUUAGGAAAACCCACUCCAGCACUACAUGGGCCUGGAGUUUGGACUAUAUUUGGAAAAGAAGUGGCCCAACAACACCUAUGUGGGUAGAAAUUUAUAUUGACGUCGUUCAGUGUUCACCCUAAAGGCUAAAACACACUCAACUACUUAAGAAAUAAAACUUACCAUCCAAUUUACCUUUGUCGUUUCCCACAUUCUCGUCGUUAUCGUCGCAAAACACCCAACUUUAUCUUUCUUGAGUUCUAUCAUCACUCGUUCUAGAUUCUGCCUUUCCUUCCAGAUUUUAGGGUUUCUUUGAUUGUGUGUUUCCACAGUUUUCUGAUACAGGGCGGUCGAGCAAGCCACAAUUCCACAUAAAUAAGGGAUCGAUCCGUCGCUUGAUUCAAAAAUGUCUAGUGGGUCUCGUGUCACUAUAACCCUGGGGAGGGAUGGUCAGGUGUUAUUUUAUUUUCUUUCCUUUCUCUGUUUUUAUCCUUACGAUGAUGUGAUACUAGGUUUAUGUUUAAUCUCUUAUUUCGAUUGAUGGGGGGUUACAGGUGGUAAAGAUGAACACUGCAGAUAUAGCUGGAGACAGUCAUAGCAGUGAUCAUGACCGGGCAUAUGGUGCUCCUUCCGCUGCUCCUUCCAAGCGGUCAGUCAGGGACAGAUUGGGGGACAUGCACAAGUACAAUUCACAAAACAAAAGGUAUUGGUACUUGGUUUUUCCCCCAUUAUAUUGCUGUUAGUGUUGUCACGAACUUACAAUAUUUCUCUCAUUUUGAUGCUUCUUUCUUUCUUUCGUUUUUUUUUUAAUUUGGAAGCGAGUGAUAAAAUCCUUGCACUUUAGCAAUUUCAUAUCUAUAACUAGAAGACAUCUCAUAAAUGGCUAUUUUAGUGUAUUUAUUGUUACUGAGGACUGUUACAUUACACUUGAUAAUUAUACAGUAUUACAGUGAUUCCAGUCUAAUUGCAAAUUGAGCAAGGCAACCUUUAUGUAUUAAUGUAUAAAAGGUUAAAUUGAUCUCAUAAUUUUGAUUUGUUUAUAUUUUAUAGAAUAUGGAUUGUUUGGCAAUGAUGUUUUCUACUGUCUUGUCUUCAAUUUUGUAAUUAUAUUUGCGAGGGUAAAAAAAAGUAUGUUGUGUCUUGUUUAUUGAAUUAUAGGUGACUUAUAGUAUUCACUUUUCAAAUUAUGUAUAAGUUUUAAAUUUUAAUUAUGUAUAAAUUGCGCAAAAAUGCUUUAAUGCGUAGUUUUACACUUCUUUGGACUAAUUGUUUAUUUAAAAAUGCAAUAUUCUUCUUUUCUUGAUGUUUUCCAAUAUAUUCAUUUAUUUGAUAGCAUUUAUUAACUUCAUAAUUAAAAGGGAGUUUUGUAUUACUGAUUAUCCGUGUUCUUUAGAAGCAGUUCUCAGUUUCUCACUAUGCUAGUCAUUUUUUUUAUGAUCUUGAAGCUUGAAGUUAUUAGUAAUAUCGUUUAUAAUGGUGUUUUGACUUUUGUGUAAUUAGCUAGUUAAUAUCCUAACUAUUGUAAUUAGCUAGCUAAUAGUUUAAUUCUAAAAUCUUCGAAUGGAUAAGACUUUACAUAAUCUUUUAGUAUAAUUCUGUUAAGAUCUAAUCCUCCUAAAUUGUAUAUAACAUAAUUAAUGAUAUUUUAGGAGAGAUCGAUCACUUGAUUUCCCCCAUUUCCCAUAAACUUCCUACUGUUCUCAUUAAUAGAAGUGAAAUAUUAAAGUUAAGUUUUUUUUAAAAAUCUUUUAGAGAUAUGGGUUUUUUGGGUAUUUUUUCCAUGACAUGUUUUGUCAUAUCAAGGCAGUUUUAAUAUUUGCAGACAACGGAGAGAAACUGAUAAAUGGGCAACAAGUCGUGCUGAUAUGGAUAACAAUAAGAAUUAUAUGCCUAGUAUCCUUUCCCGAGACAUAUGAUAUCAAUUUUCUUUACAUAUUUUUCAUCAUAAUAUGAAUGAAUGGUCUUAACAAAAGGAAGAUGGUCUUGGUAGAGAUGAUUUAAGGCUAAAAAUUAUGCGAAACAGAUCAUCCAGAAGGUCGAGUACUAGAGGCAAUGAUAAACAAGAUAGAGACAAUCAUGGGAGAUUUUUAGUAGCCAACCAAGGCAAUUUACGACAGUGUGAUAGAGAGGAUUACGUUCCAAUGUCAUCAAAGCAAUCAACAAAUUUAAGAAGAGUUUCUCCUACACAAAAUGCUAUUGAUUUGCAGCAAACAGAACCAAUGAGAAAAUCUUACAUUUCUUGGAAUAGGAUGAGGCAUAGAUCUCCACUUCUAGAUUCUUCUUCUAGGGGUGAUUCACCUCAUUCACCUUUGCGGAGAUUUGCCAAUGUUCCAUUUAGAUCCGCAGAGCCUCUACCGCAUACAAACUACAUGAUGAAGAAUGUUAUUGAUCCCUCAAGAUCUGCAUCAUCAUAUGUGUCCAAGGCUGGAUUUGAUGUUCAUGCUCAAAAGUCUGUUAUACACUUUUCCCCAUCUGGAUCAGGAUUAGCUAAGUCUUCAUGCCAUGUAUGUUAUGUUCACUCUACAUUUAUUUCAUUCUCUAUAUUUUUAUUUCAUUCCUUAUUUUUAUAAUCUAAACUGUUUCUUCUAUGGAAUAUACUAAAUAAGGAAAUAUUUUUCUUUGUUUGGGAAAUGCCUCUUUUUAUGUUAUUACUUGUCACUAAAAAUAAAGCUCUUUUUAAUUUCUUGUAUGAUAUCAUGAUAGUGCUUUAAUGAUGCCUUUGUGCCUAGAGUCACCUAGCCACCUAGAUACUUUUGGAAUCCCGCAAACCUUGUUGGAUUCCUCAUUUCUGUAUCCUUAAGUGUCUUAGUGCUAAGUGUGAGCUGAACCCUCGGUUUCUCAUCGUCGAUGAUGGAAAUCAUUCAAAUCAUAAAUAAUGCGAUAGUUUUCUUCUUCUUUCUGUCAUAUUUCCAAUUCCCCACUGUAGAUCUUGACCUAGAUAUCAAUAUGUCAUUGACUGCAUAUGUAUAUAAUGUAUACACAAAAGUUAAGGGGAUCUACUUGUUUCAACAUAUUCACAAAAGAAAGAUAUUUGUAUAUUGUAUCAAAUGAAGAUGGAAUUUGAUUCAUAAUCAAUAAUAUGCAUUUUUGCAUUUCCAUAAUUAAAUUCAGUCCAUUAUGUUAAAUUGCCAAUAAUAUUUGAAAAAGUUUAUGAUGUAUACAUAAAAGUUAAGGGUAUCUAGUCGUUUCAACAUAUUCACAAAAGUUGAUAUCUGUAUAUUGCAACAAAUAAGAUAGAAUUUAAUUCAUAAUCCAUAAUUUAAUUCAUAGUAUCGUGUUAAAUUGCCAAUAAUAUUUGAAAAACUUAUGAAUGAGGAUUAUAUUUUAUUGUCAAGAAAAUCAGUUAUGUGGUGUUAUAUGCUCUAAUUAUUAGAAAUUCCUUUGUUUUCCUUAGUUUUCUUCUUCUGUGGUUUAGUAGUCUUGAAUAUUUGCAGUUUGAUGAAUUACCAUCUGUUGGCACCUUGUUGAAUGUACUUGGACUUGGGAAGUAUGCCCUUCUUUUUCAGGCAGAAGAAGUAAGUUCAUGAGAUUUUUAUAUGUAUUUGCAAUUUAGCAUGGGUUAUAACUUAAUAUCUAAUUUUCUAUGUUGGAUGAAUGUAACAAAUUGGAACAGAAGCUUAGAUCUGAGAAUUUGGGAAUGGGACUGUCAUCUAAGGCAUUCCAUUGAGAAUGAUGUCUUUAAUGACCUCCUUAAGGACUACCUCAGAAGGCCUACUAAUGUGUUGUCUAUAUCUUUUAUUUAUUUCCGUCCAUAUAUGCCAUGACAAGCAUCCAAUAGCAUUCCAUAUUAGCCUCCAAGGGGGAGAGUGGUGCGUAAUCUUUUGUGCUGCCUCCGUCAGAUCCCCCAAUCUAAUAUCUGGACUGGAUUGGGUGGGAACUGGAAUAUUCAUUAUUUUUCAGAAAGUGAAAUCCAGGUGUUCCGCCAACGGAAUUAAGGGAGAUCUGGAAUAAGAACAGUUAAAAAAAAGAUGACUCCUACUUUCAUCUUCCAGAUUGCAUAACAAGCAAACAUGAGAUACUUGUACUUUCAAACUUCUCAACUUCUUGAACGUGUUUAGGUGAUCUCAUUUCACCCUCCACAAGAGAAUAGAGAAUUUUGUCGAUAUCUUCGACCAAAUUCCCUCAGCUAAUAUAUCUUUAUGCUUUCUAUCUCUAAUAUUUUUCACUAUUCCCCUCAACUUACUUAUCGGAGUACCAGACCUCCACACAAUCGUACUACUGGCCCUAUAAUCCAAACAUUUAUCCACUUGGCUUCUUUCUGAAACAAAAGCUUUCUAAAAAUACGAAUCCACAGUAGGCCUGAUUUGUAUAUCAUUAAGCACAUUUCCUUUAAUAUACCUAUCUUGAUCCAUUUUACCAAAAUAGAGUCAUUCCUAUCCCACUACUUUGAAGCUCUUUUAAUAUUGGUUGCAUUGGUGAUAAUGGGAAGGUCUCUAACCCCUAGACCCCCUUCCGUCUUGGGAAGGACCAUUUGGGCCCACGGGAUCCUUUUCCUUCCGUCCCAUAUAAAUCUAUAGGCUAACCUUCUCACCUUCUUAGCCACAGAGUCAGGGAUAGCCAUACCUUGUGCCCAAUAACUAUACUUUCCAACUAUUAUCCAGUUAACUAGUUGUAUUCUCCCUCCAUAGGAAAGAUAUUUUCCACUCCAUCUUUCUAAGAGCGUCCCUAUAGACUGGAUUAUCUUCCAGCACUGUCCAAAUGACUUUUUGUUUCCCGUGAUUGGUAAUCCUAGAUAUGUUAUAGGUAAAUUUUUAACAGUAUAUCCUAAAAUAUUAUGCAAAAUAGAACCCUGUAGGCUUAGGGAAUAGCAUUAUCUUAGUAUAGUAAAAGCAUCAACAUUUUUUUUUGAAGCAAUUAAAUUUCAUUAAAAUAAGGCUAAUGUCAAGUUUACAAAAAAUAGAGUAUAGAAAUAGAAACAGAAGUAAAAAGAAAUGAGCAAAAAACUCAUUGACUCUCUCCCAUUAGCUAUGUAGUCUAGUUAUAUGGUAACUUAUAACUAGAUACGUUGCCUCAGAAGGUUGGUCUCCCAUACUUCCAUCAUAGCUGUCUCCAAAGGGUGACAAUAUCUCUUCUUGUAAUACACUGAAUCAAAGGAGAGACUGAUGUCUUUAAUGACCUCUUUAAGAACUACCUUAGGAGGUCUACUAAUGUGCUGUCUAUACCUUUUAUUUAUUUCUGUCCAUAUAUGCUACGACAAGCACCCAAUAGCAUUCCAUAUUAGCCCCAAGGGGAAGAGUGGCGCGUAAUCUUUUGUGCUGCUUCAGUCAGAUCUCCCAAUCUAAUAUCUGGACUGGAUUGGGUGGGAAUUGGAAUAUUCAUUAUUUUCCAGAAAGCGAAAUCCAGGUGUUCCGCCAACGGAAUUAAGAAAGAUCUGCAAUAAGAACAGUUAAAGAAAAGAUGACUCCUAGAUUCAUUUUCCAGAUUGCAUAACAAGCAAACAGGAGGCACUUGUACUCUCCAACUCUUCAGCUUCUUGAAUGUGUUUAGGUGAUCCCAUUUCACCCUCCACAAGAGAAUAAAUUAUUUUGUCGGCAUUUUUUAACAAAUUCCCUCAGCUAAUAUAUUUUUAUGCUUUCUAUCUCUGAUACUUUCCACUAUUCCCCCCAACUUACUUAUUGGAGUAUCAAAUCUCCACACAAUCGUACUAUUGGCUUUACAAUCCAAACAUUUAUCCUCUAGGCUUCUUUCUGAAACAAAAGCUUUCCAAAAAUGCGAAUCCACAGUAGGCCUGAUUCAUAGUUCAAAAAGCGACGCUUUAAACGUCGCUUUUUUAGCUUAAAGCGGCAAAGCGGUCCUCCAGGACCGCUUUCUAAAAUGCUUUUUCUGGACGGGUUAUCGGGUCGGGUCGGGUUGGGUUAUUGGGUGGGGGCAACCCAUUACCCAUGUAAAAUAACUUAAACUAUUUUAAUUUCCCUUCCCACCCCUCCAAUUUCUAUCUAACUAUAUAAACCCAAUACCCUUCUAAUAAAACCCUAAUUUUCUUUAUCACUUUCACUUCUAUUUCUUCCAAACCCUAGAGAUAUGGGAACUGAAUCCCAAUUUCAUCAUUGCAUGAAUGAAAUGGAAGAAAUUUUAAGAGAUAAUAUAGAUAUUGGUGCACGUCUAGAUGAUUAGGUUAUGACUUGUAAAUGUUUUUCAAAUAAUUUGGAUGAUGUCUUGAAUAAUUACAGGUUUAUAUAUAUUUUAUAUAUAUUUUUUAAAAAAUUAGCAUUAUUUACAAUAAUGCCACUACCGCUUUUUCAGCUUAAGCGCGCUAAAGCGCUCAAAGCUGAAAAAGCGGUCAAUGGAAAAGCUGACCGCUUUUCCGCUUUUUGAACUAUGGCCUGAUUUGUAUAUCAUUAAGCGCAUUUCCUUUAAUAUACCUAUCUUGGAUCUAUUUUACCAGAAUAGAGUCAUUCCUAUCUCAGUACUUUGAAGCUCUUUUAAUAUUGGUUGCAGUGGUGAUAAUGGGAAGGUCUCUAACCCCUAGACCCCCUUCCAUCUUGGGAAUGACUAUUUGGGCCCACGAGAUCCCUUUCCUUCCGUCUCAUAUAAAUCUAUAUGCUAACCUUUUCACAUUCUUAGCCACAGAGUCAGGGAAUUAAACAUAUUCUUUUUUCAAGCAUUAAACAUAUUGAAUGGAUAAUCUGUUAGUUUUAGAUAUCUUAUUGUUUUUUCAAGAAUUUGUAAAUUCUAUGAAUUCUUUGUAUUGUUUUUGAAUCAGCAGAUUGAUCAUCAGAUCUGCAUGAUAAUGAUGUUGAAAUCUCUUUUUGUCCUAUUAUUUAAUGUUAAUACACACUGUAAUACUAAUAUACUGUAUGGCAUUGGCUGAGUUUUUGAUAUUUUUCUUACAAUUUUGAAAAUGUUUUUUAGGUAGAUAUGACUGCACUAAAGCAAAUGAGUGAUAAUGAUCUAAAAGUAUUGGGGAUACCAAUGGUAACACAACCUUGUGCUUUUAUCUAUUUUUUAGGAAAUCUGAAGUUCAAAAUUAUGUGUAAAUUUACAUGAAUAUUAAUGCAAUAUUUCUGAAAAAGAACACCUUUCUAAGUCAUAUCUUAGCCAUUAUUUUAUACAUACUGGAUGAAUUAUUCUAGUUUCUUAUAAAUUAUAAUAUUGCAAAAUCUAAUAAUCAAGAAAUUUGAUUUUCAAAAUAACGCAUUAUCUUUUUAAGCUUCUGCCCUUUAUAUACUGAUUUUAUUUUUGUCCUGAUUGGUGUUUUCACAUUUUCACUCCACCUUGAGCAAUCUGCAUGUUUAUCAAAAAAAAUUAUCCCAUUUUUACAUCAAAACUGUUGAUACUAUUAGUUUAAUUGCAAAGAUGGCUGAAAUCCUUGUAUUUUAUUAGUAAAUUUAGUAUGCAACAUGCAUUUAAUUAGUAUUUUGUUCAUCUAUAUUUGAUAAAAAUUUAGUUCAAUUGUGUGUUCUUGGUGUACAUUGGCUUCAUUUCUUCAGUGAAUCCUAUUUUUAAGAUUUUUGUUUUUUGAAUGAAUUACUUUACUUUGUUAGUUUAAAUAUUAUUAAACUUAUGUUUUGAAUUCCAGCCUUGAGGAGGUUCAUUUUCAAAUCCAUCAACACCAAUUUAUCCAAUUUAUUAUUGGUACAUCACCCAAGGGUUUUACAUUUUCUUUCCUUUUGAUUUUUAGCAUUGGGAUAGGAGUUUACCUAAAUAAAAGGAUAUGUUAUGUAGGUUUUAUGCUACAAACAUUUAGCUUAUCAUCUUUAAAAUAUAGUUAAUUGGUAUACUUUUUGAUUAUUUCUUUAUUACUAAUAUCUACAGAUUGAAUGUUAUUUGCACUUGAUCCUUUUUUUGUUUGUUUAUGUGUGUACCUAUACUUUUAGUGAUUGAAUACUACUUGUUUCUCAUUUCUAUAAUACAGGGUCCUCGAAAAAAGAUUCUCCUUGCUGUUUCCCCACGCUCAAAACAAAGGCCUGUAUGAAGAAGGGUUCCAAACAUUUUCCUUUCACAACGACAUUAGGGAAAAGCAUUGAAGCAAUGCUAUAUUGCUUUGCAAAGAGAUACAAUGACUAUUAAUUCCUCUACUGAUGUAUGUUUAAUUGUUUACAGUUAUAUUCUAGGACCAUACAAUUUAGAAAUUUCCUCUUUUGCAUAUGUUGCUAUUUCUGAUAUGUAUCAAUCAGACAAAUCAACCACAAUAUUAUCAAGAGAAAUGGAAAAUUAUGCAAUUGUAUAAUUGUAUUUGGUUUGAUUAUUAUCGAUUGAUUUUUUUAUACGAAAUAAUUUUGCCAUAGUUUUGGUUUAAAAAUAGCAGGUUCUCAUGCUAGUCGUGCCCGAUUCCUGAAAAGUGUGGCUUGUUUUUUUUGAUUAAGAUAAAAAUAUAUUAAAAGAAACAGUUUUACAGUUAUCUGCUUACUGAGUGUCGUCGUUGCUCAUGAGUCAUGACUGUGUCAUAGAGUCCUCCCCGUCUUACGAAUUACGAUUGAAUGUUUUAAAUUUUUACUCUUUGAACGUUAGCGAUAGAUCAUACAACAAUUCCUUGAGGAUCAUCUUUGUUGACCUGUUCUUUCACCCGUGUCCUUAUAAUGCUAAAAAAUUGCAAAAAGUCACGAGUUCUAUUCUCAAUACUCACUUCGAUUUGCCUAGAGAUAUAUAAUUACUAAUAUUUGGUUUUACUCUAAAAAAAAGUUCCCCGCAAAGUUAUUUUCAAACAUCAUUUUCUAAAACAAACAAAAAUGACCACAGAUAUGACAAAUAAGGACGGUAUAUUGGUAUAUGUACCAUAUUUUAAAAUUGCAUUGCCUCGAGUUCCAUAUGGGGUACCAUAUGCACGACAGUACCAGAUAUUCUAUCACAAGUUCCUUUCAUGGGGUUCAAGCCAGGGAAAUCCCAGGAUAUCAAACACCUCCUUUUCUGUCCAGCAACAAAAGCUGGGUGAUCUCACACCCUGAAAGAAAAUAACAAUAAAAUCAGUAAGAGUUUGAUACAUAAAUUUAUUAUAUAAGUGAUGCAUAACUAAAUGUAGCAUUACUCGUUUUCUUGUGGAGGUAUGAGAUGCAAAAAAUAAACCGGUAUCAUCAAGCCUGUAUCCUUUGGAUUCAGCCAAUAACCUCAACCUGUAUCAAAAGAAUAUAAUUUCGAAAAUCGAGAAAAUAUACAAGAAAAUAUAAAACCUUUUAUUAUCAUGUUGCCUCAUAUAAGUCAAUAAAUUAUUUCUUUUCAAUCUUAAUGGGGUAAGCAAACUGUAAAUGGAGUGGGUCCAGACUGAUUCGAACCCGCUCAACUGAGCUGGGUCAAUACAGUAUUAAAAAACUAAACCCCAAACCCACCCCAGGUCUGGACCUAAAAGACCACAAACUGAAUCCAAAACAAUAGCUCCAUCCCUGGGCCCAUUUACACCUACUUACCAAAAAAAUGGUAUAUCUAACAAAUUAUGGUAAUAAAAUAGAGAUGAAUCACAACACAAGUUCACAACUAAUUUCUCAGUAAGAAUAUAGGAGAACAUAAAUCAUCUCUAAUACUGCCCAUACUCAAAAAGCGGUAUGGUUACACUAUUUUUUUUUGCAAGGUUUAAACGUUUUGGUAGAUACAAAACACAUCUCCCUAUGGUCGAUUUAGGUCGGAUCCAGGAGGAUCUUGAUCCAUAAUUCAUUUAAAUUAUGUUUUAGCUCAUAAAAAUUUAGAAUCGCAAAAGAGAACGUGUUCCACACUUCCACUUUUUUUUUGAGUAAAACCUUCCUCCAUCUAGUCCUCCAUAGCAUCAUAUCGUGCCUUAUUAUACCAGAAGCCCAUAUUCCUUUUGCCAUUAUAUCCUCACUGCCUUUCACUCUUAUAGAGUUCCACGCGUUUUUGUAAGUGAAAUUCCCUCCUGCACUAUUCCACAUAAACCAAUAGUUGGCAUUACACUUAAAUAUAUUAUCAUACAUACCUCCUGUGUCUAAUAACUCUAGCCAUCCUGCCGAGUCCGCACUAGGCCUUCUGUAGAUGUUGUUUAAGCUUCGGCCCAUGACGUACCUGUUUCUCAUCCAACAAGACCAAAUAGAGUUAUUACAGUUCCAUAUACGAUAUAAUCUUUUUAUUGCCCCUGCCCUAGCUGAGUCCCUGAAACAUCUUAGUCCUAAUUCCCCUUCCUUCUUUGGCAGGAUCAUGUCCUUCCAUUGGAAGUCCUUCCCGUUCCAUAUGAAGUUGUAUUAUAUUUUCUUUAAGUCUUCCAGUACAUCUAUUGGAAGGCGGGCUGAGAAAUUCUAGAAAUUGAAAAUUCCCAUAAACCCCCAAUGGUACAAUUGGACUCUUCUAGCAUGUGACAAAAGCUUGCACUUCCAUCCGGCUAUCAUAGCUUCUACUGAUUUUAUCAACCCUAGGCAAUCCUUUUUAUAUAACAUCCUAGGAGACAAUGAAAGUUCAAGAUAUUUUUGAUGUAGGAGAAGAUUCUGAGUGAUUAAAACAGAGAAGAAGAAUAAGGUUUAUCCUUCUUCGAUUAGGGAAAAAAGAAAGAAGCUUGGAAUCCACCAAGGUUCUAGAUCUAGGGUAGAAAGAAAAUUGUUUGCAGGGAAAAAACGAGGAAGGAGGAAAACAGGGAAGAAAGGUAAGAAGUUACUUUUGGUAAUUGUAAUAAUUUGAUAAUUGAUCUUCCCCUCCUUGGGCCCACUAUAUUUAUACUCACAUCAAAGAUAAUGGGCAACCCAUUUGAUGUGAGUGUGAUAUUUCCUUAAGAGGAAUAUGGGUUGGCUUGAUGAUGCAGUCUUAGUUAGUGGAAUAGACAGCAAUUGGCUUGACUCGGGUCAAGCCAAUAUUUGUUCCAAUUAAUUGGAUUUGACUCACACCAUUGAAUUGCCCAUUUAUCAAUGGUGUGAGUAUAAAAGGAAUGGACCCAAAUGAAGGAAGACAGAAUAUUUUUAAUCAAAUCAAGGUAUUAUUCCUCUCUUUGUCUUACUCCCUCGUUUCUUUCACUAUUGCUUUUCUUCUUUUCAUACACUACUAUUGCUUCCUGUUCUUGGUGGAUUCUAAAAUAUUCAGAUCUAGAUCUGAGAAGAAGCUUCAAUCUUCUUCUCUUUCCCCUACAUUGACCUGAUCUCUGAAGAGUGACUGCAUCACUUGACCAAGGUCAAGCUAAUUAAAAUCCCAUUGAUCACGAUUCUGUUCAUAGAAUAUAUUAUUGCCAUUAUUUGUGUAAUUAAUAAUGGCAGAAUCUUCUACUGCAUCAUGCACCCCUUUUUUUUUUUGAAGCAAUUAAAUUUCAUUAGAAUAAGGCUAAUGCCAAGUUUACAAAAUAGAGAAUAGAAAUAAAAAUAGAAGUAAAAAGAAAUGAGCAAAAUGCUCAUUGACUCUCUCCCAUUAGCUAUGUAGUCUAGUUAUAUAGUAACUAGAUACGCUGCCUCAAAGGCCUUGGCUAAGUCAAUUUUGAUGGCAGCAUUAGCUCCACCAGAUGCUUUUCCAAAGUCCGUCUCCGUUUCAGUUGCCAAAUGUUUUUCCCGAAAAUCCUACUCUUGUGGCAGAGGUCAAGCCACCUAACGUUGGUUUCUAAUAUACCAAAUAGAUCCAACUUGUAUUUUUUAACAAACUUCUUUGCCUCCAUUACCUUACCAUUCAGACACCUAAUAUUCCAUGAAGCUAUUAACAUGAUAUAGUAAUAUUCCUUGAUUGAGUCUCGCGGGAGAUAUCGCCCAUAGCGCGGGUAGCUGGCGAUAUCUCCCCGCGAUAUGCCUAUAUCUCCCCAUUUCUCUUAUCUUCUCCCCAUUUCACCCCAUUUCUCCUCAUUUCUCUCCAUUUCUACCCAUUUCUCCCCAUUUCUACCCAUUUCUUCCCAUUUCUCCAUUCAUGAUUUUCUCAUCUCAUUUCAUCUCUUCUUUUCUUUUUUUUGCAAAUCCUAGAUGAUUUUUAAAUUUUUUUAAAUCUAUUUUUUUAAAACCUAAUUUUGAAUUCUAAAAUUAAUGAUUACACUUGAUCACUACUCUUUAGUUAAGUAUGAUAUUCACUAUUAAUUUAUAAUAUACUGAAUAUAUAUAAAAAAAAUAAAAAUACACUUGGCGCUAUGUAGGCGAGAUAGCGCUCUCUCUCCCGCUAUCUCCCCAAGUGCCGGCGCUACGCGCUAUGGCGCAACUCAAACUUUGCUAAUAUUUGUUAAUAUAUAUCCUACUAUUACUAAUACUAAUACUACUAGUAUUAAUAACCUCCAGCUGACUCCAGAUCAGAGUGCUCUAGAUCUUCUAGAGCCUCUAAUACCUUAGCAGCCAAGGCUUUACGCCUCUUCACCUCACUCUUGGACUGAUGGUCCGGGGUUCUCUUGGAGUUGGUGUUCUCCCCCUAUUCCUCUUCCUCUUGUUUUUCUCUUUGUUUUUGUUUCUCCUUCUGAGAUUCUUGACGAACUCUUCAUAUGUGUACUCCGUCUCCUCGUGCAAGGAAUCGGUCUGAGGGUUGAGUGAGUCAUCCCAGGGUGUCCUGACUACAUUCCAGGCCUGCUCUUCCCUGUCCUCCGUCAUCAUAUCCUCAGAAUCCAGAUUAUCCUUUGGCACAGGUUCAUGUAGCCCAAAUGUGUGCCCAAGAAUCCUUCACAGUUUCACAGCCCUCCCCUUUGUUGGGGGCUCCGAUCAGGUCUAUACGAAGAUCUGAGUGCUCCAUCUGAGCUAUUCCAGAGCUAGCAUGUGCAAUCGGUCCCUUAAUCGGAUCCCACAUCGGGUCCUUGAUCGGGUCACUACUUGAGUCGGUUUCAGACUCACUCGGGUCAUUUUCCGGGUUUAGAAGCUGGUUCCCGGGUACCUUGGGGACUAUGUCAAGGUUCAUGGUAAGUGACUCUUGGUGACUCACGAGCAGUAUUUCAUGGCUCUUAGAACUACUACUAGUACUCUAGAUCAGUAUUGGAUUGCUCGCGAGCAAUCCCUGCUGGUUCCCGGGUUGCUCUCCAUUGCUCUUGAAGAGUUCUCCUUUGGACCUAAAAUCCUUAAUCGGGCUUUGAACCGGAUCAGCAGUCGGGUCCUCGAUCGGGUCUAUGGUCGGAUCAUUGCAUGAACCCGAUUCCGAGUCCUCCUCGGGGUCUGAAAGUUGAUCUCCCGACUCCUCGGGGACUACGUCAAGAUCCAUGGUAUAUAGCUCUUGGUGGCUCGCGAGCAGCUUUUCAUAGCUCUUGGGGCUGUCGCUGGAGCUCUCAGGUAGAGAAUAUAUGGCUCGCGAGUGACCCCCAAUGGCUCCUAGGCUGUUCUCCACUAUCCUUGGACCAUUCUCCAUGGAAUUUGGUUGGCUCUCCUUGGCUCUCGGAGUGACCUCCAAGAGCUCCGGAUAGCCCUCCUUGGUUCCUGGACUGUUCCCUAAGAGCUCCGGGUAGCUCUCCGUUGAUCCUGGAUUGCUCUCCAUGGCUCUUGGACUGUUCUCCAUGGUUCUUGGACUGCUCUCCAGUUAUCCUAGAAUUCUUGGAAUGCUCAAAUAUUUUGGACUGAUCUGGGUUGUUCUUAAGAUUAUUUGGCUUGAUCCCAGAUCCGUCUAGGUCCUUAGUCUGAUCCUCUACCGGAUUCUUAGCCGGAUAUUUUUGGGAUCCCAUUACGGAUCCGAAACUUUUCAUGUUGGAUCCAAUUAUAUUUUUACUGGAUCCUGCCCCCUUUUUAAUCGGAUCUUUGUUGGAGCAUCCAUUUAAGAUUGUAGUGAAUCCAUCUAUCAUUGUUGGUGGAUUUUGAUGGGUAUUGGAUCCUAUGUGGGUUUGCCCUACCGGAUCUUUCCCAUUUGUAGCUUUGUUAACCCAAUCCUUAGUGGUAACCCUAGGAUGGUUAAGUUUAGGGGUUUGGAUCACCUUCACCUUAGCCUUAUCGCUCAAGUUGUCGCCUUAACCUAAUGUGUUUUUUGGAUCACCCUCCUUAUCCUCAUCCAUCCGUACAUGCCCAUCCCCUACAAACUCUAGGUCCUCUAGGGUUGUAGGCUUAUCCAAAUGUGAACUACCCUCUAAACCGGUUUUAUUCAAGUGCGAACUCCCCUCUUUUCCAAACUUUUCACUAUUUUGGCCUAUUUUUUCCUUGUUUGGCCGGUCUUGGGAGGUGUCUUGAUGUGAAAGGAUGUCAUCUUCAACCUCCCUCCUCCCCUUCUCGGAGCUUGACCUGAAGUUCUCCCCUCCGGUGAGGUUUAACAAGGAAACGCAUUGAUUGGUCCAAUGGCCAAAUUUUUUGCAUUUAAAGCACUUUGGGGGUGGCUUGUGAUAGUAGAACUGGAUUGUUUCUUCCACUAUCAACCCCUCAUCCUCCUUGAUGAAGAUCGAGAUCUCCUUUGGAAAUUCGCCGGAGGCCUCCAUUUUCACCAAGAUUCUCGCUCCUUCACUAUUUGGAGCUCUAGCGGUGUGUGCAUCCACCCUAAUUGGGACUCCAAGAACACUCCCAAUGGAAGAUAAGAUUCCCGUGUCCCAUAGAUGUAUUGGGAAAUUUGGCAAGGUAACCCAAAUCGGUAGGGUUUCAAUCUUUUCUUUCGCUAACCCCUUCCCCUCCUUCCAACCUCUUACUAUGGUGUACACUCCUCCCAUCUAUGUAUCUUCGGCGUUCUUCACCUUCUCAUAAUCAUCCGGACGAUUGAACACUAUGAGGAACACAUCAUGAUUCCUCGCCUGUAUUUUGAAUUGGUCGUCGGGGAUACCCCAAUGAACCUUAACAAAUUGAGCCGCAUAAUUGCCCUCAAUUUUCUCUACCGAUAGCCUUCUCACCACAACCGUCCCCUUGUAUUUCUUUUCAAGCUUCUCCAGAUGAUUGCCCACUAACAGGACCCCCUUCGUACCUUUAUUUUCCACCGGUUUGAUGUACGCAAGGUCUUGUAUUAUAGCCUCAUCACUCGCCGGAGCCGGUUUAAGCAAGGAUGCAAAGCUUGGCUUGUUUUUCCAAGCGAUGACCUUUGCCUUUUCUCUUCUCUCCUCCUCAAGACAAAUCUGGUUUUCUAAGAUGAGUAAUAAGUCCUCCUCGCUACCCACUCUUUUUCUAACUCUCACCCUCCUCUCCUUCUCGCCGGAGAUCCUUGCUGGUUGGAGAAACCCAUCUCCGGCCAACAUCGAGUUCCUAUGAAGUAUGAACUCGAUCCUCCUCUUCUGUCCUAGGGAAGAACUGCCUUCUUUGGAUGUAGUUGGGAGUGAACCCAUUAGCCAAAAAAUUCCACGACAGAUCAUCCCUUCCAUUCUUUAGAAUUUUUUUUUCCCGCCGGUUGGGGCACUCGCACCGCCUCUACUUCCUCAAUCUCCUUCAGACCUGCUCGGAGACCCUACUACCUUACUAAAAUUAUUAAAACAAGAGGACUUACCUUCGCCGGAGUGCUUCCCAACUCGCCGGAGAAACUUGGUCCACCCACCGCCGUCGUCAUCCUUGACCUCCGAUGAGGCCAUCAUCAAGUCAUCACCAAAGCGAUCACCAAAUCACCAAACGAAAUCAGCAAACUUCGACAAAGAAACCAGGUUGUUUUCUCAAAACCACCUUGAAAUUCCCAAGAAAAAAUCACCUUAAAAUCGCCCACCAAAUCGCCCAAUCGUCCUCUCUCUCCUCUAUCACAUGGGGGGGAAGUGAACAAUCCACACUUCCACUUACUUCCACUGUCAAGCAUUUCUUUUGGUUGGUGAACUUCACCACUCGCGAGUUUUCCUCCAACGUUAUUUCUAUCUUUUUUGAAAAUAUUCUAUACAAUAGGAGCCAUAGAUAGUAGAACUGCUGAUUUUUUUUAAUGAGAUUUCUUCUAAGCUUCUAGCCAAAGUGCCAAACUAACUAUAGCUCGAUUGUAUACAAGGUUCCAGAUGCGCCUCUGCACGAUGCACCACCACUUGGAGCACUUGAGCAUAUGUGUGCAGAUGCGCCAGUGACAUUUUCGUAAAUAUAUAUAAAACUAAAGGAAAUUCAUAUCAAUUAAAUUUUUUAGUUAAAAAUAUAUUGGAUAGAAAAAUUAUUAUAAUACAUAUAUUUAUUAAUUAUUAUAACACCCUAUAAUUCAUUGUAACACCAAGGUUUAAAAACCGGUUAACCAUUUAGGGGUAUUUUCGUAAUAAUAUAGCUCUUUAAAUGGCUAGGGCUUCUUUAAACUUAUAAAAAAGGCUUUUAUAAAAAGAAAAUAAUAAAUAACCCAAGAGGCUUUUAAAAAAUAAUAACAUAAUGGGUUGGGCCUUCUUUAAUACAUCUAUAACAUCAAAAAUACUCUAUAAUAAUAAUUUAUUUAACAACACUUUUUUAGUCUCACAUCGAUAGAAUUCAAAAAACACAAAGAAGGUUGGUCUAUAAAUAGAGAUUUAUUUUGUCUAAAACAAAUAUGAAGUCUUAAGAGUGGGAGGAGCUUAUAUUAAAAAUAAUAUAGCUCUUUUCAUGGACCAAUGUAUAAAUUUUUGGCAUAAAAAUUUACAAGGUCUUAAAAUAAUUUUUUUUGGCCUUUUUUUUUAAAUAAAAACAAAACACUGUUUUAAGUUAUUUAAAUAACUUAAAACAGGAUCCGACCCGGAUCCAAUGCAUCUCCCAGUAGGGUCGCACCUGCGCAUAAUGCGCGCAUAUGCGUGCGCACCCGGAACCUUGAUUGUAUAGAUGUCCCAAUCGCAAGUGUUAAGUUCUAGUCAUAGGCUGUUUUCCAAUUCUCCAAUCACUACUUGGUGCACUCCAUUUCUCAAUUUAUUUGAAUAGGUUGCUUUUAUAGAUCUUAAUUUGCAUUACCCUGGAGUAUAACCUCCUUUGAUAUGAGAUCUUUCACCAUUACUUUCUGUAAAUCAAAUUUAAUUGAGAUGAAGUUAUCACUGUUAAAUUUUCCUUACAAAUAAGGGCUUUUGGAUGCAGAAGCCGUGCUUUUUGGAGAUUACCAAUGUCACGAGUGACAAGAUUUGCAACAUUCAAGUCUGGAUACCAGAUUGACAAAAGACUAGCUAGCUUUAUAGGUCCUGAGGCGUAUAAGGUAAUGUGGAUAUUUACAAUGAAGUACAAAGCUGAUGGCUUGAGAUUUUCCUCAAGAUCUAUGAUGUCAAUUAUAAAAAUUUGUUUUCAGUGGCAUAUUUAAAUAAUAUCAGAGUUCUUUUUUAAUAUUAGUGAAAGUUAGGAUGAAAAUCAUGAAACAUGUACCCACCAACCAAAUAGAUGUCAAAAUGCUUUUUUAUAUGGAGAUUUAAAGUUUGAAUGAAGUGUGUGUAGAUCCUCUAGGUUAUGUUGCUAAGGGGGAGGAGACACAUAAGGUAUAUCAACUCAAGAAGACUUUGUUUUGCUUGAAAAAAAAGUCGAAGAGCUUGAUUGGCUUGACAGACUCAACAAGGCACUAAACAACCAGGGAAUCAAACAGUAUUUUUUAGACCAUUCCAUUCUAGUAAAACACGAUACACAAAUUAUAGUUUUUCACUUUUUGCAGAUGUAUAAUUUGAACUCGAACUGCUAAUAGUUUGCCACGGGCAGACAAGCCCUUAUUAAAGAUUUAAGGGUCCAUCACAAGUCUAAAAAAAGUAUUUUCAUUUAUCUACACAUUUCCUAUUUUUCAAUGCUAAUGACCUUCUAGAACAUUGAAGGCCCAAAUGAUUAAGAUGUUUUUAACCAAAAAAAUCAUCAAAAAAACUAUGUAAAAAAAAACUACCAUUUCAAAAAUUCUAUGAUUAACUUAUAAAAAAUUUACCUUCUAUUUAACACGUCGUUCCCUGUCCAAGCUACCAAACCAAAAGCAUAUAUUUCUCUUGGAUAUACCUAUAAACACAAACAGUGAUGUUAACAUAUUUCUCGAUUCUUAGUUUGUCUAGACCUCGAGAUAUUGGAAUAAUUUAGGUAAGACAGAACUAUUGUGCUUUUCAUCGAUUUUUUUUUGAGGGAUUAAAUAUUUCAUUUCUGAAAAAAGUGAUGGUGGGCAGUGCCCAAUUAUAAUGUAGGGAAAUGUAGAACAUGCAUAAAUGAAAACACAAAAUGAGAACAUAAAAAAUAUGUAAAAGCAGUCUCUCUCUUAUAUAUCUCUGUCCCCGUCUAUGUGGCCAACUGGCCAUCAACUGGUGCCUCAAGAGAUUGGACUCCCAUAACAGUAUGGCUUCCAUUUCAAUCUAGUGAAAAUUGAUUUUUCUGAAGGGUGUAGCACCAUAUGCUUUUCAUCGAUUUAAAGAUAUUUGUAACAGUAAAGAAUGUAAAUGUAAGUCAUUAUAAUGUAUACUCUCAGUCUCAACAAUCAACAUAAAGAGCCACUGUCUAGAUCUCCUGUCUAAGUUUUUUUUUUGAGAAAUUAAAUUUUCAUUACUGAAAAGUGGUUGGGCAUGGCCCAAGAUUACAGAAUAUAAGGAAAUGCAAGUACAGUAAAUGUAAAAACAUUGUCUAUCUCUUAUACAGCUAUGACCCUGACUAACUGGCCAAGGACUGAAGCCUCAAGAGGUUGGACUCCCAUGAGUGUAUAGCUUGUUUUUCAAUCUUUGAAAGAUUGUGUUUUUUAUAGGAUGUAGAAUCAUAUGCAAUGCUCACAUCCUUUUCAAUCUCCUGUCUAAGUUAUUAAUAAAAAGUAAUAAAAAACUAUCUCCCAUCCAGCCUAACUUUAUAUCUGGCAAGAGAAAAACAUCAUUGCAUACAGAAUUAAACGGUCAUUUAAAAUUUGCUUCUCUUUCAAUCUUCUGAAGUAUUAUGAAUACAUGUAGGUUAUAGUUAGUUGGAAAUCGACCAAACAUAUCGAUGUUGCAUUUCUCUCUUUGCCUAGAUCCACAACCAUCCAAUCUUGUCCACACCAAAACUCCAACAUUUACUGUAUUCUUAAUUUCCAUUGGCGUUCCAUGUAUGAAAUUGUUGCCGAGCUGUUUGGGUGCUGACUAGGUGUGCUUGUCACUCUAGAGCCACAAAGAGAUGUUGGAUAGAAAUAUAGCAUAUGAGCAUCUCUCCCUACAGCCACCUUAGAAAUUAGAAUCUCAUUUCCUCACCGGUAUCCAAACUUUAUCCAAUGUACACAACAAAACAAAUGGUGUAAUCUAGUGAAGAGCACGAUCCUAAAACUAUCUUAUUAAUAAAGAAAUAUGCAUGGAGUGAUACCUUUAAAUCAAUCCGGUACCUUUGUUCUCUACCAGGAAAUGUGCAAAGCCCAAAGUAUGUAUCCACACCUGCAUCAGUUCCCUGUAUAGUACUUCACAAUUUUGAUAAUUAAAAGCCUAAUAAAAUAUUGUGGUUGAGCAAUAAUAUUAGAUGAAACAAUAUCAUUAUUGCAUCAGCAUUUUGGAUCAUAAUGAUUAUAGGUCAAAACUAUAAAAAUAUUUGCUGAGUUUAAUUUUAAAAUGAAUAAUAAAUUUCAAUUUUACCUCAUUAUUGCUGUGAAUGCUCAAGACAAGGUCCUCCCUUAAAAAUUUGAUAUCCUUCAAAUACUGAAUAUAUUUUGGUAAUAAACCUUUAUGGCUGUACAAAUAAUAUAUGAAUGAUUAGUCUGUAGAAAUGACUCUCCGUCUUAGUCCAAGACUUCAAGUGCCGUAACCUAUAUGACAGACUUGAUAAUAAAAUCUAGUAUCUUAAAAAAAUCAGCCUAGGAAACAUCAUAGAAACUAUCAGAACUAAGAGACACAAAGACUGCCUGGCAGUAGGCAUAAUAUGGUCACAUACUCAUAUAUACCCCAUUUAUAUUUUUAAUAUUUAAUUUAAUUUUUUUUAAAUGUAUUAAUUCUCUAAUGUUGUAUUGCAUUAUAAUUUUAUUUUACUUUUGCGAAUAUUUAAAUAUAUAAAAUUGUGUUAAUCGUGUCGAGUUAUCGGGUCGUGUCAUGUCAACCCCCAAACUAUCAUGUCCGUGUUUACAAUUUUGGAUUUUAAUCGUGUUCGUGUCUUGUUAACAUGAAUUGCCACCCUUACCUAUUCUUCCAUAAGCUCCCAAGUACGAUAAGAACAUUUAAGAUAAUCUUUUGUAGAUUUGAAAGAGAUCGUGAAUGUAGCUGAAUUAUACCUUAUGAUCUAGAUGGGGGCCUCCAAUCCCCAUUUGUUUUUAGCUAGACAUGCUAGGGCCCUUAUGCUUGGUGUCUGGCCAAAAGUUCUUAGUGCCAUCUGUAGUUUGUCUCCAUAUCUCGGAACUUCCAUGUCCGGUCGUCAGAUGAAUACAUAAGCUACUGAAUUUCUAUUUAAGGAAGGGGCAAGUUGAAGUCAACACCAUUGAUUGAACAUUUGAAAGUAUCUGAGGUUUCAAGCAUUCAUUUGUUGAUAUAUCCAGAUGAUCAGGUCACUGUGGACCUUCUCCCUCUAAGUUCUCUUUUAAAAUUCCUACUUGUCUGCACUUUGCUGCCUUCCAAUCUCUGUGUAGGGCCUCGAUUCUCCUGAAGUGACUCCGUACUUCUGUUGCCUUAUCCCUUGGAUUUCCUGCCUUGCCUAAAAUAGGAAACCUGACCAUCUUUGCCUCUUGCUUGACUUAUUUUAAGUUUGGUAACCUCUGAACUUAUAAUUGCUGCAAAUUCUACCACACUCUAGUGCUAACAGGUGUCUUGAAACAAAGGAAGCACACCUGCUCGAACCUCUCAGCAUACCCUGUUUCUAGAGGAACGGAUGUAGGAUGGUGGAUGGGUGGAAAAAACCCAGGUGAGUACUUUGGAUUUUUCACCUGAUUUUUAUGUAGUCUUUCCCAUCUUUCUCCUAGGGAAAAACCUUAUCCAGAUUCACUUUGGAUAAGCAGAGUUUGUGAAAAGAGAUUCAAGUGUACUUACCUUGAGAAGUUCUCCCUAGGCUCCCUGGGCUGGGAGUAGCGUUGCAACAAAAGUUCGGUAUUCGACGAACUAUUCGGUUCGUUUCGAGUUCGGUUCAGUUAUUAAACGAACCGAACCCGAACCUUGAAAUAGAUUCGUUUAAUUAAACGAACCGAACCCAAACCUUGGUUGAGGUUCGACAAACGGUUCGGUUCGUUUAACAUUUUUAUUAUAUUUUAUUAUUUUAUAUUUAUAUUAAAAACUUAUAUAGUUAUAUUAUAUAACUUAUAUUAUAUAAUUUUUUAUUAUAAAUUUAUAUUAUAUAUUUCAUAACUUAUGUAUAUUUUUGCAAUUUUUCAUUAAUAUAGUAUAUUAAUGUUGAUUUUAAAUCAACAAAAAGAAAAGAUGCCUAAAGAUUGACUCAACAAAAGAAAAUAUACUAUAAACUAUGUUUUUUUUUAUUGUUUUUUUUUCAAAGAUGGUCAGAUAGACAUUUUUUUUUUAAUGUUUUUUUUAGGAUGAUGUAAAAAAAAAAUCAGUAUUCAACGAACUAUUCGGUUCGGGUUCGAGUUCAAAUUCGGUUAGGUUCGGUUAUUAAACGAACCGAACUCAAACCUAAAAGUAGGCUCGUUUAUUUAAAUGAACCGAACCAAAUACUUAGGUAUUCGGUUCGGUAGGCUCGAGUUGCAACGCUAGCUGGGAGUGGGCUCCAAUGAGAGGGUCGCCGGAGAGUAGGCUCUGAGCUCUUUCACUCGAUCAAUUGGCAUGGUAAGUUGGGUGUUCAAUUGGCCGGGUGAAAUCAGAUACCAUAUAUGCUUAUAUUUAAUUUUUGGUGAUGAAGAUGAAGGUCUGAUUGCAGUUGUACCCAAGAAGGAAGAUGGAUCUUUAUGGAUAUGGCAUAAAAGCUUGGCAGAAGCAUCUUACAAACAGUUAGCUUUGAACAAAUUCUACAUGCAUAUUAUUUGUUUGCUUAAAUUUAUUUAUAAUAAGCUUCUAUCCAGAAUAAUCUGCAAGAUAUAAAAAUAGAGAACAGAAACUAAUGUGAUGUUGAUAUUAUAAUGAUUUAAAAUAUUCACAUCAAAGUUGGUGGCGAGAUAUGUACCUCUGUCCAUCUGGAUGAGUGAUUACAACAUCCAAGUCCCCACAAAAAGCUUUGCCACGUCUAUACGACCCACCACAAGUCACCAUUACCUUAAGCAUUUGUAGUCACCACAAAGUUAAAUAAUUUGUAGUUUUUCAUGAACAUGAACAUAACUGGAAUAAAUCAAUACAUGAAUUCAAAGAAAUAGACAAACAUUGUUAGGAAUUUGAAUAUGGAUCUCUCUAUCUCACAUGAUUAAGAAAAGAAUAGAAGAAAAUGAAGUAGACAUGGGAAUUUACGUGGUCCAAUCAUUGUGAUCUACUCAAUGGAUGUUUGGUGGCUUCGCCUAUGCUCUUAAUAUGUGAAUAUGUGAUUAAUGUUACGACACAUUACAAGCCUUUAAUAUAAAAACAUAUUAGAGUUUGAACAAAAAAAUAACUCCGGUUAGCCCAUUAAAAGAUGGGCCCACUAAAAUAAACUUAUAAGCCCACUAAGGAUAUGGAAUAUUGGAGAUACACAUAAAACACUCAAUAUUUUAUUUUUAUCUGAUAUUUUUCUAUCAAUAAGAAUUUAACAGUUUAUAGUAUUCAAAAACAAGAAUCAUUGGAUAAUUAUUAAAUGGGUAGAAUUUUAAAUUUUAACUAUAGCAUUCUAUAAUAAAUGCUUACACACCCCAGGUAAGAUAAUCUCGCAAGCUUUUUGAAGAAGUUCUUCCAUGACUUUAAUCUAAGAAAAAGAAAUAAAAUGCACUAUUUUAGUCGCACCAUCUUAAUUUUGUAAACAUAAAAAAACAUUAUAAUUUUUGAAAAACUACCUCAUCACGUGGAAUCAUUUUUUUAAUAUCUUUAAAAUAUUUCAAUCCUAAUCUUUGAGGAGUAGAUAGAGAAUCCUCCUUCUCAAGAUCACUAAGUGUUCGAUGACCCUUUUCAUAUAACUUCAAAGCAGUUGCUGGGCCAAUGCCCCAAACUUCCCCAAAUAGAGUUAUUGUCCGUACCUUCAUAACUACGUCAAUAAAAAAACUAAUUGCAACAAGUAAUACAAUAUUCACAUUUCAAAAUAUCACAUAAAGAGGGGAGUGCAGUGAGUGCAGAGGAGGUACAUGAAGCUGUAUCUAUGCGGAGAUGUGUGGUUGUACUACAGUUGGAUAAAACCAUGGGACCAUGAUUUUCUUGCACGGCGGCGGUCCAGAUUCUGGUGAACAUUGCAAUCUUUGGCAUGGUGGCAUUUCAAGAUCAGUGGCUAAACUUGUGGCAUUUGUUACCCUUUGAGCGAUAUUUAACGUUGAGGAUGGUGUGGGACUUGCAGCCUUCCUCUUCAAUGACGACCAGUAUGCUGGCCGGGCACUUCAAUUCCGACAGCAUGACAAAGAAGAUCCUAAGUGAAUGGGGGAAAGCACUAAUGUUCAAGUACUCCCCCCCAUAAAGCGGCUUUCCAAAAAUGUUGGCGAUAGCAUUGACCAAAUAUUUCUUGAAGAAUUGGGAUAGAAUGAUAUAUAAUUCUAAGAGUUCAUGACUUGAGUACUUGACACUUAGGGGAAUUGGGCUUCUUCCUCAGCAUUUAGAUCUACAAGUUUCAAGGUGGUCUUCAUCUAAAUCAAAUACAAUAUCAAGUCAACUUACUUAAAAGUUGUGAGCUUGACAACUUCAAGCCUUGAAGGCUUCAACAAUCCCAAUCGUGCCCGAUCAAAACUUGCAGUCUACAAAGGAGGCCGUUUCUCAGGAUAGGGAGUAACGAAGAGUUAACGGUUCCCUUACUCUAAUUUCCUCAUAAAUUACAGCUAGUUUCCUGUUUGGACUUCUAUUUUUCUAUUGGGCAGUAUAAUUUGGACUACAUUCCACCAUGUCAUUUGCCCUGAUCCUUGUUUCCAUUACAUACUUUCAAAAGUGGGAGUCAAUAGUCUUCCUAAUCUGGAUGUCCAUUAGAACCUCCCUUCUGAUGUAUUUUUCUUGAAUCCACUUUUUCAGAAUUGAUUCUGAUUUUUUUCCAAAAUUUAGCAAUUCUUUUUCUUUUAAUAUUUAAAGCUGGCAACUUUGUGUCUAGGUUUCAUAUAGUGUAUCUCAUGGACCGAUGACCGUACACCAUUUCUUGGAUGGAACCACGUAAAAAAUCUGAUUUCUUUCUUUCUGUUUUAUCUACUUCCAAUUGCUUGGUUGUACAUUCCAGAUCUCAGAUCUGUCAUCUGAGAAUAGAGAUAUUGUUUUAUUGUUUCUGUUGGUGCUGUCCAGACGAUUAAUAAGAAAUGUCAACAGUUCUGAGAAUCUGUUGAAGGUGGCCAUCGAUGUCACCGGAAGCCUCUCCAGAAUAGUCUACUCUGUUGGUGUGAUCAAUGGGUCUUGAUCCAGUUCAAAAUGUGGUCAUCUUACUGAGAUUCUUGCAAAAGAAAGUAGUAAGACAAACAUAGGAAUGUGGGAGUUAGAGUGUGGAGGUUAGAGAGUUAUGAAUUCCCUUCACCUCACUUCUAGCUCAUGCCUACCCUUCUUCCCUGGGCCAGGAUAUGAGUUACAGAGCUUAGGACAUGACUACCAAUGCUUUAGGGGAAAUUUUGUGUGUCAAUAGUUGGGUUGAGAGAAUAAUGAAAAUCAUUGGUUAGAGUACUUUUCUUUUUGAUGAAGUUAAAGUCCAUUAUGGAAAAUAAAAACAGGAAAUACAUAGUACAUUAGUACUAAAGCUAAAUAAAUAGCGUGAGAGAUGGACAUGCCCAUCAACUCUAUUUCUAUAUAGCAGUUUGCCAGUUUUCCUUAGUCUGUGAACCUAAGAAUUUUACCGCAGAAGUGAAGCCUCCCACAAAGUUAACAUCUGUAUAUCAGAUUCUUAAAAAAAUUAAUGAAAAUGCAUAUGUGAUGGAUCUUCCAGAGUUGUUUAAUAUGUCAUCUACUUUCAAUAUAUCUGACAAAGAAGUAUUACCCACCUGAUCCAGACCAAAUUUUACAUUCGAGAACGAAUGUUGCUGAAGAGGAAUCGCCUGAUGUAGUACAUCUAGUUCAGGCUAGUCCUAAUUGCGCCCUUGCAAUAGCAAGGAGCACAAUUAACUCUAACUAGUCCCUCAGGCACAUCUCGAAAUCCACUAAAGGAAAAUGUUAGUGAGCACAUUUAUUUUUGAGAAAAAUGUUACUUAAGGUUUCCACUAAAGGAAGGAGGAUGGCUCUAGUGUAGGUGCAUGUGGGUUCUAGUUUUAUCCUUUGUAUUACAGAGGAGGCAUGUGGGUUGGAUGGGCAUGCCCCAUCCAUUUAAUUUGACAAAAGUGUUUAGAUGCCCCCACUUUAUCCUCCAUAAGUUUAUAGAGAACUUUGUGGGCUUGUGUGCCCAAAUCCCCUCUGCUAAGUUAUCUUUGUGGCUUUUGUCCAUAAUUUCCUCACAGAUAGAUGCAAGGUUCCUGUUUGGGCUUUCAUUUUUCCAAAGGACAGCAUAGUUUGACCCACAUUCUACCAGAGCACUUGCCUUUGCACUGCCCCCUAUCACAUAUUGAUGUAGGAGAAUAUUCUGAGUGAUUAAAACAAAGAAGAAAAAUAGGGUUUAUCCUUCUUCGAUUAGGAAAAAAAGAAAGAAGCUUGGAAUCCACCAAGGUUCUAGAUCUAGGGUAGAAAGAAAACUGUUUGCAGGAAAAAACGAGGAAGGAGAAAAACAGGGAAGAAAGGAAAUAAGUUACCUUUGGUAAUUACAAUAAUUCGAUAAUUGAUCUUCCCCUCCUUGGGCCCACUAUAUUUAUACUCACAUCAAAGGUAAUGGGCAACCCCAUUUGAUGUGAGUGUAAUGUUUCCUUAAGAGGAUUAUAGGUUGGCUUGACCAAGGUCAAGCUAAUUAAAAUCCCCUUGAUCACGAUUCUGUCCACAGAAUAUAUUAUUGCCAUUAUUUGUGUAAUUAAUAAUGACAGAAUCUUCUACUGCAUCAUGCACCCCUUCUAUAGGUUCAAUUGUCCUGAACUGAUCUUUAGCAAGCUCUUCAGGGUAAUAUUUUCUGAUAUCACAUGUGUUGAAUGACUUGGACAUAUUGUACUGAUCAGGUAAAUCUAUGACAUAAGCAUUGCCAUUAAUUUUUCUCAAUAUUCUGAAUGGACCAUGGUUCCUUGGUUUCAAUUUAGAAUAAGUCCCUGUAGGUACUCUCACUUUACUUAUGUGAACCAUCACUAGUUCUCCCACUUGAAAUUCUUGAGUUCUCCUUUUUCUGUUUGUUGAAUCUUUGUAUUUGCUAUUAGAAAUAUUUAAAGCUUCUUCCACUAAUCGAUGAACUUUUUGUGCCCUGUUUAUCAUGUUUUCAACUACUGGUUGAUUAGAUGGUACUUCAGAAACAUUUACUGCUUGUUUUGGUUGAUGACCAUAGGCUGCAAUAAAAGGACUGAUUGUCUGCCUAAUUAAUCCAUCUUUCAUUAACCCUUCCACCUGAUUUUGUAAAAUUUCUGCCUCAGCUGGACUCAUUCUGUAAUGGGGAAGGUUGGGAAGUGAAGCUCCAGGUGUUAGAUCAAUUCUAUCAUCUAUCAGUCUGUGGGGGGCAGUUCUGUUUUU
rnacentral:lncRNA from 1 species